UUUAUGCACAAAUAAGUUCGGAAAUUACUAGUGAAUUUCCGGGCGUGACAAGUUGGUAUCAGAGCCAUCUCGACUGUAGGAUAAGCCAAAUGGUCAAACCUUAAGGACAAAUCUUCCGAAAACAUAAUUUGUGAAAAUUUCUCCUUUCUUCCUUAUCUAGAAUUCUUUGCAAAUUGUUUCAUUGUCUACUCUCCUCUCUCGUUCAACUUGAGUAGUUCUGAAACUAGUUGUUGAAACUAGAAGAUGUUGAUGAGGUCAACUUAUGGAGGCCAGUAAAGUGGAUCGAGGAAGAACCGAAGUGCAAGUGGUCAAGAUGGAAUGAAGUUUGGAUCCUAUCUUAGAACCUAUGCCGCCAAACUGUCCUCGAAGAAUAGUUAGUAGGGUAGAACGUUUGUUGUUUGCUUUGUGUGUAGGUAUAGUUGCAUUCCCAUCAUUGGAGUAGUUCAUUGAUGAGUGUGUAACUAUACUAGGUUGCUUGCUUAAUCAACUUGAACAAUAUAAUGGUCUACACACAUCAGAUCAGUGUUAACCUGGUUAAGGUCUUAUCUUUAGUGUAACCCCUCUCCUCCUAUCUUCUCUAAUCUGCAACAGAUGGUGAACACUCGCGCCAGUGGAAGUGGAAACAAUAACAAUGAAGAGAACCCAACCCUUGCUCAAGUGCUGGCUCAACAGACCCAAUUGAUCAACAUGUUAGUGCAACAAAUGCAGAACCAGCAAGGGAACAACAAUGUCAAUCCUCCGCCGCCGCAGAACAAGUUAGCUGAUUUUCUUCGUGUGAGGCCGCCUACCUUCUCUAGCACUACCAACCCAGUGGAAGCAGGUGAUUGGUUGCACGCUGUUGAGAAGAAGUUGGAAUUGCUCCAGUGCACGGAUCAGAAGAAAGUUGUUUUCGCUUCACAUCAGUUGCAAGGAUCUGCUUCAGAAUGGUGGGAUCACAUCCGGAUGAACAGAGCAGAAGGACAACCAAUCACUUGGGCGGAGUUCACUGAGGCAUUCAAGAAGACACACAUACCUGCAGGUGUUGUUGCUUUGAAGAAACGUGAGUUUAGGGCUUUGAAGCAAAAGGAUCAUACCGUGGCAGAGUAUCUUCAUGAGUUCAAUCGUCUAGCUCGCUAUGCUCCAGAAGAUGUGCGUACUGACGAGGAAAGGCAGGAGAAGUUCUUGGAAGGCUUAAAGGAUGAGCUGUCAGUUAUGUUGAUCUCUCAUGACUAUGAGGAUUUUCAGGAGUUGGUUGACAAAGCAAUUCGACUGGAAGACAAGAAGAACAGGAUGGACAAUCGUAAGAGAGGAAGGAUUGUUUUCCAGGAGGCACAGGAUAGUAGCCAGAGGCAGCGUAUCAAGCCACUCCAAAUUGGUGAAUCUUUUUCUACUGGUCAAGGACAGUCGCAACAGUUGAACAUCGGUGGUGAGAUCAAAUCAGAGACUAAUGAAAGCAAUGAAGUUAACAUCGAGCAAGCUAAUCAGCCGGUGCCAGUUCAGCAGGAUCAGUCUCAAGAGAAUAACAGUAGUGGAAGGGAGCAGCAGGUAUGUUUCAACUGUUACAAGCCAGGUCACUUUGCAAGAGAGUGUCCGAAGCCGAAGCAUCAGCAGCCGCAAGGUCAGAUCAACAACAUUGUUGUCACAGGAGCUAAUGCAGUGCCAGUUGCGUCUUCAAGAGUUGCGUCUUCAAGUGUUACAGCUCAGCCACCAGUUUCAAAGCAGCAGUAGUUUUCUUUAAAGCCUUAGAAUAAUUAUCUGAGUUAUGGAAUAAUAAGAUAGAAUGCAGUUUACCUAUGCCCUUUUCUUUCUAGCCGUUCCGAAUCUCGGGACGAGAUUCUUUGUAAGGGGGGUAGAUUUGUCACAUCCUGAUUUUUGUUUCAGGAUUUAUAAAUUAUUUAAUAAAUUAUUAUUAGAAUUUAUAUUAAAUGUUCAUUAAUUUACAAAUGAAGUUAAAUGUGGGAAAUAAAAUUUCCUAAAUAUAAAGCAUGGAUGGAUUUAAUUUUUAUUAAAUUCUCCAUGGUUAAUUAUACUCUCUGGAAUAUUCUCGGAUUUUUCGGAGCUCAAUUCCUAAUUUUAAUCAUACAAAGAGCAUUUCAGUAAUUACCCACAUAUUAAAUUAAUCAUUAAAUGGUCUGAUUAUAAUUUUUUUAAGUACUUUUAGUGUCCAAGUAUUUUCAGGAUUUUUCUUGAAAUUAUUUGAGCGUUGGAAGUAUUUUUAACAAUUCAAAGAUCAUUUUAGUGAUUAUUUUAAUUGAAAAAGUUUUAAAAGCCCUCCCUUAAGUCGUUGGGCCGAAUUCGGCCCAACACUCCCUCUCUCCCGCGCGGCCGAGCCGGCCCAAAACCGGCCCGAGUCGGCUCAAGCCGAGCCGCCCGCCCCCUCCUCUCUCAGGCGCCGACAUGUGGGGCCCACAUGUCGGUUGCUUCUCCUACCUCCGGCCGGCCGGCCAUGCCUAGCCCGAGCCGCCGCCUUGCCGCCUCAAAUCCGCACCCAAUCCGGCCCCGUUUCUUCCGGAUUUUUGAGGGGUUUUGAUCCUCUCGUUCUCCUCUAUCCUUUCCCCUAAGAAUCGGAGCAAACCGUUGAGUAUUUUAUCCGAAUCGAACUCGUUUUUGAGUUUAUCUCCAAAACCGAGUUUUUGAUUUCCCGGAUCGAUUUCUUGCGGGAGGAGUCCGAUCUCUUCAAUCCAAGGCUAUAAAUAGGACCCCCUAGUCCUCCUCUUUCGUUUGCCCCCUCUCCCGUCCUCUCCCGUGACCCGUAGAGCCGUCGCCGCGUGAAACCAUCCGCCGCCGCCGCCGGCCGGGUUGCAGCCGCGCCGAGCAGCCUUCUCCGCCGUCGCCGCCGCUUGCCGCCAUCACCUUUAGGUGCGCCAAGCCGUGGGGAAGCUCGGCCGCCCGUUCCCCUUCGCCGCCGGCCACCGGAGCCCCUCCGCCGCCGGUCAACCGAGCCGCCGCCGUCGCCCCUCUCGUUGCCGGUCGUCGUCCGACGUCGUUUGUCGUUGUGGUGAGUACCGUUGGGUUCGUCUCGUCGUCCUCUACGUGUACAUGCCCUCCUUUUUCCCGGCCGACCACCCUAGCUCCUGCGAGGUCGCCAUCUGAGCCGGCCGCCACACAUCAUCAUCUUCUCCUUUUCCAGUUUUUUCUAAUAGAUGAAAUCUUCGGAAAAUCAUAACUAAAUAACCGUAGAUCCGUUUCAGGUGGUUCAAGUUGCUAAAUUUUUCUAAAAUCAAGAUCUACAUGUUAAAAAUAUCCACAUGUACUGUUUAUGCUUGUUUUUGUACUGUUUUGUUGAUUUUUAUUCUUUUGCUUUAGUUUCCGACGUUCUGAAGGAGAGCCUUUCCGUUGAGGAAGGUUCGGAAGUGUUUGCGGAAGCUCAAGGCAAGUCACACAGAUCCCAAACAACCCUUUGAGCAUGUUGAACCCAUUUAAAGCUAUUAUUUUAUUUCAACUAUGCAUUGUUUUCGAAUGUCAUCGGGUGGUGAACCUUUCCCCGUUAAUUAAUGGCCGAAGAUGAUCUUAUUUUCCUAUGGGUUAUAAUUUGAUUAGCAUGAACCUUAUAUAUUGGAUUGGUUCAGCUAAAUGCUAUAUGUAUGUUUGCUUAGCUAUGCUUAGAAACAUUAGCUAACUAAAGGGGUUAAUUAUAAACUAUAUUAUAUUAUUCUUAUUAAUUAUGGUUAUAUUUAAUGGUAGCUCACGAUGGUUAAUCAUGUGAUGUUAAUUAAUUGAUAAUUAAAACCUGGUUAAGGUGGGUUGUGAGCAUAUGGUUUUGAAGGUCGUGCUCAUGGCAAUUAAGGACCGGUUCGCGAGCUACUGUUGUGAAACAUUUACCGUGCCAACCACAAGCCAGCAUGGGCAAUGGCUUUAUACUUUUGUAUAGCAUGGUUCACUAUAGCGGUGCCACGACUGUGAAAGUGGCGAGAAAUCCACGGGGGUCGCUGGGGAGUCCAUGCACUGUUUAUAAGGGGGUGAUUAUGAUCCGCGAAUGGUGCACUCUUUUGAGUUGUGUUGAGCAAAGGGUAUUGUCACGAAUUCCCCCCUGGCAAUACCGUGGUGGUAUUUUGGGGCAUGGCAACAUGUGUGGAAUCGUGUCUUGUGGGUACAGUGGUACACCUCUGGCCAGAGUAAAACUAUUCGAAUAGCCGUGCCCGCGGUUAUGGGCGGGUUGAGCAAUGUUUUUCGUGAUUAGUCUCACACCUCUCACAAUAAUUAUGGAUGUUAUAACUGGUAAUAAUUUGCUUAGCUCCUGGUUUGGAGUUAGAUCUGUACAGCCGAGUAUGGUUGUUCAGGAUGGUUGGGCCUGAGCAGCAUGGGUGUGCUGUUCAGUGUUGAUUAAAAUUUCUGAUUAAUUACUCCACUGUUUUACUUCUCUUAAAUGUUUUGCUAAAUGCUGCUUUUGCAAAUGAGCCUGUAUUAUGCCAUCCUUUGGUAUCCUUGUGCACUUGCAUAUUUGCUGUGUGCCUUGUUGAGUAUGUCAUAUGCUCAUUCUUGCAAUAAUCAUCAAACCUCAGUUGAAGAAAAAGGAUCCAGAAGGAGAAGACGUUUGGCUUAUACCCCAGUUGAGCUGCCUGUGGGAGUGGAGCUGAAGCCAUCGCUAGACCGUUAAUUCCGCUGCUGUUUUCUUUUCUUUUGUAAGUAUGUAACGUUAUUAUUAAGAUGGAUUUGUAUAUUAAAUUGUCAGUUUGUGUACCUCGGUUGAUUCCUGGACGAGGAUUUUAUGCACAAAUAAGUUCGGAAAUUACUAGUGAAUUUCCGGGCGUGAUACUUGCUGAGUACAGUGGGUAGUACUCAGUCUUGCUCUAUUUUCCCCAAACCCCAGAGUUUGAGUAUGCGUCAGAUGGUGGUUUCUCCGAGGAGUAGGCUUCGUCCGUGCCGUCGAGGAUGCCUGUGGAGUGGUGUUCUCGCUGCAGAUCAAGUCAAGGCUUAGCUCCAGUUAUCUUUCGUUUUUCCGCUGCAUUUAUGUAAGACUUUGACAAUGUUUGUAAGACGUGGAUCUGUAUGUCAACUUUGUCGUCUGUGUACCCCGGCCGGUCCUGGACGGGGAUUUUAAUGCACAUUCUGCUUGGAAUUCUAUUCGGGAAUUUCUGGGCGUGACAGCUGCCCAGCGCCGUCGUUCGGCCGGUUGGCUUUGUGCCGUGCCGUGCCCCAGCCGUGCCGCCCGUGGCCAUUGGAUCAGCUUUGGGCCGAUCCGGGCCGUCAGUUCCCGUGGACCGGCGGUGGACCGUCUCGGUGGUCCUGGUCCACGGUGGACCGACACCCUUGUCCCGCUGACGCGUUGGGCCCGCCUGUCGGCGCCGACGCCCCUUGCUGAUAUCAGCGAAUGCCUUUUCCUUUGAGAAAAUAAUUGAUAAUUGCAUCAUAAUUCGAUAAUAAUUGUAGAAAUCAAUUAAAAUGGCUCAAAACUUCUAAAAUUCAUAUCUAAUUCAUUCGAACUCCGAAUUGAGCCAUUCAACUUGCAAAAUUCAUCUAAAAUUGAGCACUACAUGUUUGUUUACUUUUUAUGUACUAUUUUCUUGGUGUUUAUUAGAGUUUUUCCUCGUUUUGCGUGCCAGCGUGUAGAAUCCGUCGUUUCAGAAGUCCGCGGUCGCGAGGAAAAGAGUUCGGAAGAUCAAAGUGAAGAAGCAAGGCAAGUCACACAUUCCCCCUUGAGCAUGUUGAUCCUAAUUUACAAAUGUUUUACCGUUUGCAAAUAAACAUGCAUGUCUUGCUAAUUACAUGGGAUCCGGGUAUUACCUAACUGCUUGCUUGUGCUAUGUUUACUUGAUAUCUGUCCUUUGUCAACCUUGGAUAAUAAAUCGACUAACUCAUGUUACUUAUGUGACCUAGCAAGAACUAUAUGCUUAGCCAUGCUUAAUUACCACGUGUUGUGGGGCUAUGUCUUGUGGGUACAGUUGUACACCUCUGAUCAGAGUAAAACUAUUCGAAUAGCCGUGUCCGCGGUUAUGGGCGGUCGACCAGAUUCACUGUGAUUAGUCUCACACUUAAUAAAUUGACCCAAUGCACUGUAGUUCAGGUGGGUUGGUUGGGCCUGUUCAACGUGGUGUAGCGUUGAUCAGUGGAGAUUUAAUGUUACUUUAAUUACUCAACAGUUUUACUGUUUUGCUCAAUAAAAUGUUUUACAACCGCCUUUAUGCAAAUAGCCACAAACCGUCCUUGCGUUCCCCUUGCACGUCUGCAUCGUUGGUGUGGCUUGUUGAGUACGGUGGGUGAACUCAGCCUUGCUAUUAUUCCCCCUUUUCAGAAGUGUAGUGCUUCUGAGCUGAAGACGAAGUUAGAAAACCAAGGCUCAGACCCCCAGUUGAGUUUUACCUUUGGAAUGGAGCUGAAGCCCCGCUAGGAUCGCAUUUUUUUCCGCUGCUGUCGUUUCUUUUUGGUGCGAGCACUAAGAGCCUCUUCUGUAAGUAUUGUACGCUUUAUUUACGUUUGGAAUUGUAUAUUACUUGUCGUUUUGUGUACCCUGGCUGGUCCUGAACAGGGAUUUAAUACACAAAAUAGUCUAGAAAUUUGGGCUAAAUUUCUGGGCGUGACAGUAGGUGUUCAACCGUUAUGCCGGCGAAAUACUUUUUCAUAGAUCAAACAGCCUCUAGAUACCUCUUCAUUCCUUCGUCUUUUGCCUCAAAAGAUUUGUCAACUUGGCUUGCCACCAGUUUGGAGUCUGUUCGGAUGAGCAAGCGCCGAACCCCCAAUGCUUUCGCCUUUCUUAGGCCCAACAGUACAGCUUUGUAUUUUGCCGUGUUGUUGGUUGUGUCGAACUGCAGUCUUGCAGCAUACCGAAUCGGCACGCCCCCUAGCGAAGUGAGCACCACCGCGGCGACCGCCCCCUUGUGUGACCACGAGCCGUCAGAGUACAUACCCAAGGUUAUUCGAUGGGCUCGGUUUCGGGGGCGAACGCCGGUGUCCAUUCGGCCACGAAGGCUGCUAGGACUUGGGACUUGAUGGCAGUGCGGGCGACAAAAUGCAGGUCGAAGGGAGAUAAUUCCGCCACCCACUUGUUGAGCCGGCCAGUAAUUUCCUUGCCCCGGAGCACUUCGGCCAAAGUAUACUGUGAUGGCACAGUGACUUUGUGGGCCUGAAAGUAGUGUUUAAGCUUGCUCGAAGCCAUCACUAGGGCGUAAGCAAGAUUUUCCAUUUCAAUGUAUCUUAAUUUCGCCCCUUGCAAAGCUUUGGAGACGAAAUACACGGGUUUCUGGCCUGACUCUCUCUUGGACGAGGGCUGCACUGACUGCCACCGGCGAAGCUGCUAGACAGAGCAGCAGUUCACUUCCCGGUGCUGGGCUGACCAAAGCGGGUGGGCUUUGCAUAUAUUGCUUCAGCUCGUCGAACGGUGCUUGGCAUUCAGGUGUCCAGCUAAACUUUCCCGCGCCCCGGAGGGUCUUGAAGAAGGGCAAACCUCAUUCGGCUGCCUUUGAGAGGAAUUGACUGAGCGCCGCAAUUCGGCCUGCGAGCUUUUGUACUUCGCGUACGCUCGACGGGGGCUUCAUUUGCUGAAUGGCAUCGAUUUUCUCGGGGUUUGCCUCGAUACCCCUUUCAGAAAUAAGAAAACCCAAAACCUUGCCCGCGCGAACAUACCCGCCGAGCGUAUGUUGUCGAAGGUUUCCUGUAUGUCGGACGCAUGGUCGAAAGCCUUGUGGCUUUCUACGACAAUAUCGUCGACAUAGGUCUCCACAUUUCGCCCCAGCUGCUUGUAGAGGACCUUGUAUACCAGGCUGGCGAAGGUUGCUCCGGCGUUCCUUAGGCCGAAAGGCAUCCUGAGGUGGCAAAAAGUACCGAACGGCGUGAUGAAGGCUGUCUUGGGGAUGUCAGCUGGAUUCAUGUGGAUCUGGUGAUAGCCGGAGUACGCAUCCAAAAAGCUCGUAAGUUCACAGCCAGCUGUCAAAUCCACGAGCUGGUCGAUCCGCGGUAGGAGGAAGUCGUCUUUCGGACAUGCCUUGUUGAGGUCUGUGAAAUCGACACACAUGCGCCAUUUGCCGUUCGACUUCCGCACCAGUACCGGAUUCGCCAACCACUUGGGAUGGUCGAUCUCUUGGAUCAACCCGGCUUUGAGCAACUUCUACACUUCGGCUUUUGCUGCCUCUUGGAGAUCAGCGGACAUCUUGCGCAGCUUCUUUUUCCUUGGCUUGGCAUCCGGUUUGACCGCCAGAUGAUGUAUGAUGAGGUCUGUCGAAACACCUCCCACUUCGUUGGGGCCCUAGGUGAAGAUGACAAUGUUUUUCUUGAGCACCUCUAGGAUGCUCUCAGCUUCCUUUUCGCCCAUGUUGCCUCUAAGCGAAACAAAUCUUGUGGGAUCGGCAUCGUCGACCUGCACCUUGAUCACCUUGCCGUGGGAGGCGGGCUUCGGAAUGUGCUUUGCCCGGACAUGCGGUUCGGCCUCAACAUUGUGCACUGCUCUGUUGAUUGCGGCCAAAUCGCCCUUUGAUGUAGCCGAAGGUUGGAGCCCCUUGACCAUGAUCACGCCUGCCAGACCAGGCAUCUUGAGCUUGAGAUAGUUGUGGUGGGAGAUGGCUUUGAACUUGUUCAAGGUUGCGCGGCCGAAGAUGGUGUUGUAGUUGUAUGGGAUGUCGACGACGUCGAAGAGUAUUUGCUCUUCGCGCCUGUUGUCGCUUGUGCCGAAAGCCACCGCCAGUUGUACUUGGCCCAGGACUUGAACUGCUUCGCCGCCGAAACCUUGAAGCGAGGUUGGUGCUUGGGUGAGGGCUAGGGUUGGCAACCCCAUCCUGGCAUAUGCUUCGGCGAUUAUGACAUCGGCUGAACUUCCUCCGUCGACCAAAAUUCGCCGGACUUCGAAGCCAACUAUCUCGGCCAAGAUUAUCAGGGGGUCUUGAUGUGGGAACAGCACUCCUUCGGCAUCGUCCGGCCCGAAAGAGAUCUGCUGGUUCAAAUACCGCGGAGCCCCUUCGCCUGUCGAAGUGAUGUUGUGCACCAUUCGCAGCUGCAUCUUCUUCUGCCGUUUUGACGGUUGAUCUGGUAGAUCGGCCCUUGUAAUCACUUGGAUUACUUUGCGUUGCACAUCUUGGCGCUAUUCGGCCGAGGGUGCUUGUUCUUGAGCAGCUUCGCGAGGUGCUUCGACAGCUGCUCCUUGCUGUGGCCUUGGAUCUUGUGCGCUGCCACGCUGCCGAAUGUUUCGGCAUUGCUCGGUGGUGUGCGAAGAGCGUCCAUGGAAGGCGCAGUAGAGGUAUUUUCUGACCUUCUUGCGAAUGGGCUGUUGAUGGCUGCCUGCUUGUUGGCCAUCGAACUCCAUGCGGAGGGCUUGAACUUCUUCGACAGCCUUCACGGCCUUGCCCGCGCGGUCGGUUCUGAAUUUCCUCCAAGUCAUGGGAGCUUGACUUGGCCUUGGCGGUUGUCCUUGGUUCGCUGGCUGAGGUUGGUGAAUGGCGAGAGGAGCCGGUUCGGCGACUUGUGCUUGUACUUGGGCUUGAGCAGCGGCGAUGAAGGCUUUAUCGUACUCGGCUUGGAUUGCUUGCCGUCGCUUGGAAUCCUCUUCGUCCCUUGCGUACCCGUCAAUGAUGUGAAGCAGGUGCUCGAGUGUCUACGGCUCCUGUUGGAGAUUUUUCUUGUGAGUUUGCCUUCAAGCAGCCCCGCCGAAGCGGCGUUGAUGACGGACACCUCGGUUAUGUCCUGAACUUGGCAUCGGGAUUGCGAGAAGCAACGCAUGCACUCCCUUAUCGAUCCCUCAGCCUCUGGCGAAUGCCGAGUAGAUGUUGCUGCGUCUUCGACUCCUCAUAGGUGCCUCGAAAGUUAAGGACAAAGACAUCGCGCAAUUGCUCCCAUGAGUAAAUGCUAUUAGCUUGUAAAUUGUAGUACCAAGAACGGGCGAUGCCAUCUAGAGCGAGAUGGAUUACCUUUGCCUUGGUGUUCUCGUCUCCGUGAGCGGCUUCGAUUGCAGACUCGUAGAUGGACAGAAACUCUUUUGGGUCCGUUUCGCCCGAGUACCGCAGAACGGGUGGGAACUUGAACUGGGGUGAGAUUGGACAAAUUUUGAUUCCCCCACUCAAUGGUAGCCCCUUUUCGCCCCCCGCCUUGCUCACGGUACCUUGCUGCGAAGGCCCGUUUGGUUGUGGAUAUGGCGUGGCGAAGGGCGAAGUCAUGACUAGCGCAUGAGGUUGGACCACAGUAUUCGGUUGCCCAGCUCCGAACGGUGGCACUUGGUGUGCCACCAUGGAUGGGUCGAACGGAGGCUGGGUCCAUGCCAUAGCGACCUGGUUCUGCGCUUGAUUUGUUCCGCAGCCUAGCGUCGUUACCUGUGGUCGAGUGGUUGGUGCUUGAAUGGCAUUGCUGAGGUUGAACUGUGGUCCUUGACUCCAUGGCGAAGCCCCCGGACUAGGCUGGUUCGACAGUAGCCAACUGGGUGCACCCUGACUUGUUUGCCCCUCCGGUUGGGCCGAAGGGGUUGUACCUGAAGUGUUGUGGGGUUGGCUGAGUUACUGAAGGAAAGCUUGAAGCUGCGCCUGCAAGGCCGAAGCCCCCUCCGCCAUUGCUUGUGACAUUUGACCAGGUGGUGGGGGGCGUACUUGGGCAGCGACUGGCUGAACUUGUGGCUAUACACGAGGGGUCGGGUGUACUGUUGCGGCCGAAGGCUACCCGGCGAAGUACGCUGGCGCUUGCAUGACUUGUGGCGGAAGGGCCUGAAUCGGUGCUUGCGGGUAGACUUGGGGUGGAAUGUAGCCCGCUGAAUACUGGAGAAUUGGGGCCGAAGCGACCUUGGCUUGCCUUGCUGCUUCGUAUGCCUGCUGCUGCUCUUGCAUUUGGCGAAGCAUGUCUUGAAGUUGCGUCAUUUUCUGGCGCAUGGCCUCCAUGUCUGCUUCGGCUUGUGCCUCAAGGUUGGGGUUGACUUGUGCAGCGGCGAGCGUGGUCGAAGUCGUAGCCGGUUGCGGCGAAGCGGCUUGGGGCGCCACCAGUUGGCUUGUCGAAAGGAUCUCCGCCCUGGUCUAGAGCGCCCUCGCCGCCGCAGCUGCCUAUGCCGCAUCAACCGUGUUCGGCGCCUGCCCCGUCCAAGCGGCAGGAGCCGAAGGUGGUGGUUGCGGCGCAGGUGCCGAAGCCGAUGGUGCUGCACCAGCUUCGACGACGGGCGCCGAAGGCUCUGCUCCCUCUUCGACGGCCAUUUCCCCUCCUGCUUCACUCUCCUUUCGCUUAGCAACCUUCUCCUUUGCAACCUUCUUCUGUGGCAUUCGCUCUCAGUGGUUUCGCUCAGAGAUCCCCACGGUCGGCGCCAGCUGUUGUCGAAGCGACAACUGCGUACGUCGAAGGAUGUGGUUACCCAACAGUUGUUGGGAACAGUGAAGUGUAUUAAUUUUGGAAUUUUUCUUGGGAUCCCCCUUUUACAUGGCCCUAGGGGUCUAUUUAUGAUCCUAUCAUAGGUUCCCCCAUUAGGGUUUAGGUUUUACAGGAGAAUUUACAUGGUUGCCCUUACAAAAGGGACAUUUGCAUAGGUACACAGCGUAAUUGUGAUACAUGGGCCUAUAAUGGGCCAAUUGGCGAAUGUUGGCCCAAGGGCCAACGGGCUUGAGCGGCUGGGAUGGCCCCUUGGGCCUCCUUUAAGCUGGACUCGUUAUGGCGAAGUCACCCUCCUUCGGCAUGCACCCUUCGCCAUUUAGUCUUCGCCCAAGAUGCCUUUGGCCUUGUGGGAUACCAGCGCGAUCCUUCACCCUUCGCUGCCUUUUGCUUAACAGACUUCGCAGUGGGUGCUUUGCCCAGAUGAACUUGAUGCCUUGAGCUCGAAUCCUCGCUGGUUGCAUGGUUUCAGCUAGUCUGGUAGAAGGGUCUCAUGACAUACCGCCAACCUCAUAUCCAUACCGCAUGGUUUUCAUCUGGUCUCGGUCGAAGCUCCUAUCUCACCCUUGCCCGUGUGGGGCUUGUUAGUGGUAUGUCAUGAAACCCUUCGACCAGACCUCCCGAAACCAUGCAACCAGCGAGGAUUCGAGCUCAAGGUGUCAAGUUCAUCUGGGCGAAGCCCCCAUGGCAAAGACUGUGAAGAAAGGCGGCGAAGGGCGAAGGAUCGCGCUGGUAUCCCACAAGGCCAAAGGAAUCUUGGGCAAAGACUAAAUGGCGAAGGGUGCAUGCUGAAGGAGGGUGACUUCGCCAUAACGAGUCCAGCUUCAAGGAGGCGCCCAUUAUUGGCCCUUGUAUCACAAUUACGCUGUGUACCCAUGUAAAUGUCCCUUUUGUAAGGGCAAUUAUGUAAAUUCCCCUGUAAAACCAAAACCCUACUGGGGGAACCUGUGAUAGUAUUAUAAAUAGACCCCUAGGGUCAUAUAAAAGGGGGAUCCCAAGAAAAAUUCCAAAAUUAAUACACUUCACUGUUCCCAACAACUGUUGAGUAACCACGUCCUUCGACGUACGCAGUGGUCGCUUCGACAACACCAAGAAAUUGGAGAAGACCCCUUCUGGUCUAGGACCUGGACGAACUUGUCACAAACGGUUCGAUUUCUUGUCAAAUGUCACUAUUCGACCAGUCAACGAGUUGAACCCCUCUCCGAGGCCUGGCUACACACUCAUGUUUGAAGAUUUUUUCGAUGACGGCUUCAUGUUUCCUUGCAGUCCUUUCCUUGUGGAUGUGCUCAAGCUGUAUGGGCUCGAGUUCCCACAACUUACUCCAAACGCUGUCGUGAGGCUAGGGGUUUUCGAAUGGAUCAUUCACAGUUGUGGUGGAGUUCCUCAUGCUCAAGAUUUUGCGUACUUUCACCACACCAGACACUACACCAAGCAGAAUUCGAAGUUUGGCUGCAUCAACUUCUCCCCCCACUCGAACCGCGGCUAUCCCGGGCCUAUUGUUUCUGCGAGUCGAACCAAGUGGGGAAACAAGUGGCAAUCAAAGUGGUUCUACCUCCAAAUUCCUGCCGAGUUGUAUGCUGAGAAAGACUGCCCUUUCACUUUUUCUUGUAAGACCCCGAAAGUUGUCUUCGAACCAUCGGUAGCGCUUUCCUCUGAUUUUACCGCCAUUCGAUCUCUAGUUGAAGAACUCGUUUCGAAAUUUAGUGUUCGAGACUUGGUCGAGGAGUUCAUCUGUCUUGGUAUUCGACCUCUCUCAACUAGUUGGGCCCUUAGCCUUGGUGAACUUCCGGAUGGGGCCACCUCACUACUUCAUCCCCUCAUCGUUUCUUCUGAACGUAAGUUUCAUCUUGUUUGAAAGUUUUCUUUUGCGUUUUCUUCGCUUUUCCAGUUUUUUAAAUGACUUAUUCAUGUUUUUCUAUUGUUUCAGUUGUCAUCCCAGAGGACAUUGUCCGUCCCUGUCGGAAGCUUAUUGGUCCGUUUACCAAGGAUGAGUACUUGAAGUACUUGACACUGCAAAAUGGGAAAAGACAAAAUCAUGUGUUUGCUGUUCUAAACACCGAUAUUCCUGCUUGCAUUCAUCCCGAGCAAGCUCCCGAGCUAGGAAAAAAAAAAGAAAAAGAAGGCAAAAGCCCCAUCCUCCGAUGAAGACGAAGUUGAUGUUGAAGAUAUCAAUGUGGAAAAUGAAGACAGCGAUGAAAAUAAGGAAAAUGACUAGGAUGAGGACAGUUCAAGCAGUGAUGAUGACUCGAGCAGCAGUUCGAGCGAUAGCUCGAGCGAAUCAACUGCCUCUGAUACUGCAAAGAUCGCUCCUCCUCCCCAUCAUGUUUCGAGCGGGUUGAAGAGGAAAAAUGUUUCAAGCAGGCCCCCAAACAUCAACGUCAAAAUUGUCAAUGACAGUGAUGAUGAACUGGAUGAUGAUUAAAUUCGAAUCGAAUUCCCUGUUAUCAACGUCAUCCCCAUUUGAGCUGAUGCCAGCCUUGCCGUUUCAGUGAACGAAACUGCUCCUUUGGAUGUACUUGCAUCCACUGCCACAGUAGUGGAGAAGAGUGUUCGAGCACAUGCUGUCGAGACUACCAGCUUGAGUAGCCCGACUCGAGCUAACAAAGACUUAGAAACUCAGACAGCUCAGUCUCCAGUCAACAUCAGCCAACGGCACGAAAUUGGAAAAAACACUAUAACUGGCGAUGUUCGAGUUGGUGAUAGUUCGAAAACUGUUUGGACUCCUUCUCCCCCAUUUAUAUUAACUCCAUCUCCUCAACUGGUAAAAGAAGUUCUUGGCAGCUUUAGCGAGCGUUGCGCUCAAGAUGGGCAUUGGUUGAUGGGUUUGCCCAAUUUCAGCGAUAUGGGGGAAAGUAGCCAUCACAGGGCCAACCUAUGCAUGGACGACUUGAAGCACCACAACCCCCUCGGCCCAGUUGGCGAUGAGCUCGAGAGGAUUUUAAUCCCUUUGGAGUUGGAAAAAGAGUUCAUCAAGGAAAAUGAUCUUAUGUCCUCUUGGGCCACGCUCGAUGUGUCUGCCGCAAAGGUAUUUUCUACACUUCGAGAUCUUUCACUGUCGAGUAAUCAUAUUUUUGAACUUUUAAGUUUUCGAGUGCUCACGUCUUACUUGUUUUGUUGUUGCUUUUGUAGACUGCUAGCCUUGCUCGACUUCAACGGGAUGUUGCUAAGAAAGCACUUGAGGCAAUUUGCGCUCAAUGGAAAAAAUCCGUCGAACAUAUAGCUAAACUCAAGAAAGACCAAGAAUUCCUUCAUCGUGAGCUCAAUCGAGUUUCUAACGAGAAGAACGCCUUCACUGAUCUUGUUCGAAAAAUCAGCGGCGUGAUAAAAGGGCUUAUUGAGGAGAAAAAGGUGCUCGUUGAAGAGAACAAAAAAUUACAUGCUCGAGAAAAAGCUCUCGAGCGGUCUGUCCUUGAACAUCAAGAGGUUUCUCGCCAACUAGCUGAUGCUGAAGAUAAGUUGAAAGAACAAAUCACCGUUUUGGAAAAAAGUAAUGAAGAGCUCGAGCUUAUCCGCAAAGAACAAAAUGAAAGUAAUGCUGAAGAUAUGCAUGUUUUUUUAGCUAAGGCAAAAAUUGCUCGAAAACCACCGUCAUCCUCAUCUUUCAAAGGAGUGACGAGGUCGAACUAUGUUUUGCCGCGUCACGCAAUUUUUAGCUUUCGAGCUCGAGUACAGAUUGUAGCGUUCGAGCUCAUGUUAGUUUCGUUUUGUUUUCUCCAAGCUGUGCAGAAUGUUUUCUCAAUUCUUGUGAUCGAGUUGUGUUUUCUCCGAACCGUGCAGAGUAUUUUAUCGAUGCUUGUGAUCGAGUUGUACUUUCUCCGAACUAUGUGGAGUAUUUUCCAUCAUCAUUCAUAAACACACAAAGACAAGUUUUUUAUACAGGUUCGGGCCUCCAUUAUGGAUAAAAACCCUACAUCCUGUUUUGUCACGCCCGGAAAUUUACUAGUAAUUUCCGAACUGAUUUGUGCAUAAAAUCCUCGUCCAGGAAUCAGCCGAGGUACACAAACUGACAAUUUAAUAUACAAAUCCAUCAUAAUAACUAAACCGAUAAAUACUUACUUAAGAGGCACUUAGUCCUCACCAAGAAGAAAACUGCAGUGGAAAAUAAAAUCUAGCGAAGCUCCGGCUCCACUCCCACAGGCAGCUCAACUGGGGUAUAAGCCAAACGUCUUCUCCUUCUGGAUCCUUUUUCUUCAACUGAGGUUGAUUGAUUAUUGCAAGAAUGAGCAUAUGACAUACUCAACAAGCCACACAGCAAAUAUGCAAGUGCACAAGGAUACCAAAGGAUGGCAUAAUAUAGGCUCAUUUGCAAAAGCAGCAUUUAGCAAAACAUUUAAAAGAAGUAAAACAGUGGAGUAAUUAAUCAGAAAUUUUAAUCAACACUGAACAACACACCCAUGCUGCACAGGCCCAACCAUCCUGAACAACCAUACCCGGCUGUACAGAUCUAUUCUCCAAACCAGGAGCUAAGCAAAUUAUUACCAGGUAUAACAUCCAUAAUUAUUGUGAGAGGUGUGAGACUAAUCACGAAAAACAUUGCUCAACCCGCCCAUAACCGCGGGCACGGCUAUUCGAAUAGUUUUAGUCUGGCCAGAGGUGUACCACUGUACCCACAAGACACGAUUCCACACAUGUUACCAUGCCCCGAAAUACCACCACGGCAUUGCAAAGGGGGAAAUCGUGACAAUACCCUUUGCACAACACAACUCAAAACAGUGCACCGUUCCUGGAUCAUAAUCACCCCCUUAUAAACAAGGCAUGGACUCCCCAGCGACCCCCAUGGACUUCUCGCCACUUCUCAGUCUGGCGCACUAUAAUGAAUCACGCUAUACAAAAGAUAAAGCCGUUGCCCACGCUGGCUUGUGGUUGGCACGAUAAAUGUUUCACAACAGUAGCUCGCGAACCGGUCCUUAAUUGCCAUGAGCACGACCUUCAAAACCAUGUGCUCACAACCCACCAUUAAUCAUAUUUUAAUUACCAAUUAAUUAUCAUAACACGAUUAACCAUCGUGAGCUACCAUUAAAUAUAACCAUAAAUAAUAAUGUAAUAUAUAUGAUUCAUCCUAUUAGUGAGCUAAUGUUUCUAAGCUUUGCUAAGCAAUUAUAUCUAACAUUUAGCUGAACCAAACCAAUACAUAAGGUUCAAGCUAAUCAAUUUAUUACCCAAGGUAUCAAGGAAUAGGAUAUUCAAUGCAAAUUGGCCAUAACAAAGGAAUAGGUUCACACCACCCGGUGACAUUCGAAAAUAAAUGCACAGUUGAAAUAAAUAGAGAAUUUAAAUAUAGGAUCAACAUGCUCAAAGGAUUGUGUUUAGGAUCUGUGUGACUUGCCUUGCAAUAAUCGGUCUUCAAUUAAUCUUCUUGAAUACUUCCGGUGCACUCACGAACCUUCGCAACGACGGAAACAACAAGCUAACACGUAAAACGAAGAAAAAGACUAAUAAAAACCAAAUAAACAAUACAUAUAAAGUAAACAAACAUGUAGAUCAUAAUUUUAGAUGAAUUAUGAGACUUGAACGGCCUCAUUCUGACUUCAAAUGAAUUUAUUAUGAAUUUUACAAGAUUAAAUCUAUUUAAAGCCCAUUUAAAAAAAAUUAAAUAAAUUUAAUUCAAUUUAUGGACAAUUUUAAUAUGUAGAUCUUUAUUUUAGAAAAAUUUAGCAACUUGAACCACCUGAAACGGAUCUACGGUUAUUUAGUUAUGAUUUUCCGAAGUUUUAAUCUAUUAGAAAAACGAGAAAAAGAAAAACCGAUGACGUCAUGCUGACAUCACCCAUGGCCGAACCAAGAUGGCGACCUCGCCGGAGAUAGAGCGGCCGGCUGCGGAAUUGGAGGGCAUGUACACAUAGAGGAUGACGAGACGAACCCGAUGGUACUCACCAACGCGACGAACGACGACGGAUGACGGCCGGCGACGAAGAAGCGACGGCGGCGGCGGCUUGCACGGUGGCGACGGCUCUACGGGUCACGGGAGAGGACGGAAGAGGGGGCAAACGAAAGAGGAGGACUAGGGGGUCCUAUUUAUAGCCUUGGAUUGAAGAGAUCGGACUCCUCCCGCAAGAAAUCGAUCCGGGAAAUCAAAAACUCGGUUUUGGAGAUAAACUCAAAAACGAGUUCGAUUCGGAUAAAAUACUCAACGGUUUGCUCCGAUUCUUAGGGGAAAGGAUAGAGGAGAACGAGAGGAUCAAAACCCCUCAAAAAUCCGGAAGAAACGGGGCCGGAUUGGGUGCGGAUUUGAGGCGGCAAGGCGGCGGCUCGGGCUAGGCAUGGCCGGCCGGCCGGAGGUAGGAGAAGCAACCGACAUGUGGGCCCCACAUGUCGGCGCCUGAGAGAGGAGGGGGCGGGCGGCUCGGCUUGAGCCGACUCGGGCCGGUUUUGGGCCGGCUCGGCCGCGCGGGAGAGAGGGAGUGUUGGGCCGAAUUCGGCCCAACGACUUAAGGGAGGGCUUUUAAAACUUUUUCAAUUAAAAUAAUCACUAAAAUGAUCUUUGAAUUGUUAAAAAUACUUCCAAUGCUCAAAUAAUUUCAAGAAAAAUCCUGAAAAUACUUGGACACUAAAAGUACUUAACAAAAUUAUAAUUAGACCAUUUAAUGAUUAAUUUAAUAUGUGGGUAAUUACUGAAAUGCUCUUUGUAUGAUUAAAAUUAAUAAUUGAGCUCCGAAAAAUCCGAGAAAAUUCCAGAGAGUAUAAUUAACCAUGGAGAAUUUAAUAAAAAUUAAAUCCAUCCAUGCUUUAUAUUUAGGAAAUUUUAUUUCCCACAUUUAACUUCACUUGUAAAUUAACGAACAUUUAAUAUAAAUUCUAAUAAUAAUUUAUUAAAUAAUUUAUAAAUCCUGAAACAAAAAUCAGGAUGUGACAUGUUUAUAUAUAUUAAGAUUGGAGAGGAGUACUUUACAGGCUGGCAGGUAUUUUACAAACUGAGUAAUAUACUAUAAGCACGAAAAGUUUUUUUUAAAACAUAUAACUUCUUCAAUGAAAUGGCAUUCCAUGUGUGCUUUAGUUCUUCUCCAUCAAGAUAUGGCAAAUUGAAUGCGCUUGUUUCUAUUCUUUUCUUCACUAUAAAUGGUCCUUCCCAUUUUGACUCAAGUUUCCCAACAACAACUUCAAUACCAAAUCACCUACUUGUAUUUUCCUUGUUUUCACCCUUUUGUUGUAGUAGUUUUUGGUUCCUUCUGUGUACAUUGUCAUUUUGUACAAUGCUUCAACUCUUAUCUCGUCUAGCAUUUCUAGUGUAAUCUCUCUUCUUCAUCUUGCUGAUGAAAUAUGACUCGAGGUGAAUUUGCUCCAACUUCACUUGGCCUCAUUGCCUUAUCUCCAUAAACUAGAAUGAAAGUUGUCAUUCCAGUUGAUCGAACCACCAUCGUUCUUAAUGCCCAAAGCACCGACAAUAGGUCUUCUACCCAUUUUCCCAUAGCUGAUCCUUCCACCCUCUUUUUAAUGGCUUCCAUUAUCUUGCCAUUUGCUCUUUCUUCAGUUCCAUUUGUUUGUGGAUGGCCUACUGAAGCAAAUUGAGUGAUUUACACAUGUCUUUGAACUUUCCUGACUCGAACUAUUUUCCAUUGUCACAUGCUAUCUCCCUUGGAACUCCAAAUCGGCAUAUGAUGUUCUUCCAAACAAACUUUUGUACUUCCGCAGAGGUGAUCCUCGCUACAGCUUCUGCUUCAAUCUAUCUUGAAAUAUACUCAAUUGCCAUAAUGACCAAAAGCAAAUCACCAUCUAUAGAAUGGCCAAACCGGUGGAAUUUGUUGCAACUCUUUCGGUAGUGCUUUUGAUGUUGGACCAAAUUUGUGGCAUGCUUUACAUGUCUUGAUGUAUUUCUCCGUGUCUUUCAUGAUUGUUAGCCAAUAUAUUCAUUGUCUUAUCACCUUUGAUGCUACUGACCAUGGUGCUUGGUGAGCGCCACACAAUCCUUCAUGUAUCUCCACCACUAUUCUCAUGCCUUCUUCUCUUGUUACACACUUUAACAGUGGAGUGGUAACUCCGCUCUUGUAUAACUGUCCUUCUAUUACUUUGUACUUCCUGGACAUCAAUUGUAGCUCCUUGCUUCCUCUUCUUUCUCUGGAAGUUGUUCACUAACAAGAUACUUCAGAAUUGGUUCUCUCCAAUUUGCCACUUUUUGUAUGCAUGUAAACUCUUUUCUCUCAUAGCUUGGAGUAAGUUACAACAUCAAAAAAUGAAUAUUCCAAUGGUUGGCCUGCAGCAGCUGCUUUUGCUAGCUCAUUGUCUUCUCCGUUUUCUUCUCUUGCUAUGGCUUUUACGGUUAUUCCAAGAAAGUGCUUUUCAUUCAACCUUGCUUCUUGUAGGUAUUUUGCCAUUGUUUCUUCUUUUGCCUCAAUUGUCUUCGAAAAAUGACUAGCUACCAACUUUGAAUCAGUUUUAAUUAUCAAGAGCUGAGCCCCUAGUGCUUUUGCCUUUCUCAUAACUAGCAAAACUCCUUCAAAUUCUGCUAUAUUGUUGUUAACAACGGAAUUUGCCAUCAGAUUCGGAGAAGAAGGAAGAAGAUCAAAGCGGAUUCGGUGUUGGAUCGAGUUAGAUUUGGAGUCGGACUGUGCAUUGGCUGAAGACUGUAUCGGUUGAAAACAGAGGUUGAUAAUAAUCAAGGUUGAUAAUGCUGAUGGCCGAUACAGCCGAUAUGGUGUGACUUGGGCUCGGCAUGGGCCUAGAUUGGUUUAACCGUCAUUGCCAGUUAGAGAUAGAGCUCAAUUAAGGCAAUUGUAUCUAUUAAUUAGGUUAGUUAUGACGGUUUUGUUAGUUUUGGCAAGAGACCACCGUAUAUGGUCUUGUCGAAAAGGCGACCCUGGAGGAAGACCUCGUGAAGACAAAUACGAAUCUGGCGAAUUUGUAUCAGGAGGUCAAUGUGCGCGCUGAGAACAUUCGUACGCAGUAUGAGCAUUUCCAGCGGGAGCUUGACUCGGUGAAGGCACAGCGCGAAGACUUGGUGAAGGCCCUGGUCCCAACUCUGCGCGUGCUCUUCCCGAGUCGAGGUGAAGGCAAAGAUCCCUUCAUGAUGGCAGGGUGUCGUCGGAUGGCUGAGUCGGCUGCGAGGAUCGCCACCAACCAUGCCCUGGCAAUGGUGAAGUCGCACUACCCUUGGGUUGAUAUGGCUGCUGUCGAGGAAGGGUAUGCGGCCGACUACUCUGAGGAGGAUGUCGGCUGGCGAUUAGAAGAAGUCGCCUCUGCUGCUGCUGCAUUGGUCAAUGAUCUUGACCUAUAAUGAAACACUUUUCCUUUCUAUCUUGUUGGUUAGAACAUGUGGGGGAAUGUGUGGCAAAGACUGAAGCUUGUAAAUACGCUGGCGUUUAAAUUUGCAGUGUACUUAGCUUUCUCAUGCUGCCGACUAUUCAAGGAGGGUGGCCAGACUCCUUUACCAGCUGGAUUGAUGUAGGAGCCCGGCUGAUGCCCUGAUGCUACAAGUGAGGAAGGCCUUGCCACCCAAGUGCUUGGGGAUCUCGCCCGGCUUCGAGAUGUGUGCUAGGCAUGGUGGCAGGAGGUUACAAGUCUCCUGCGUGACAAUACAAAGGGAAACAAGGACCGUCAAGCCCAUGAAGCCGAGGUCUUCGGUCAACUCCUAGAUGGCCGCAAACCAUUUACGGAGCCAACGGUAUGGGGACACCUGGCUCAGCCGUUCGGGUCUGACCGGGGUCGGGUGGUGGCCUGGGGGUAGUAAGUCCCCGAAAAUGGCUGUGCUUCAGGUAACAAGGACCGUCAAGCCCAAGGACCUGAAGCCAUCGCUCAACCCCUAGGUGGUUGCCAGUCACCUGUGGGGCCAACGGUAUGAGGGACACCUGGCAUAGCCGGGUGAGGCAUGGCCAGUGCCGGAUGGUUGCCGGGAGGUUUUGAGCCUCCUGACGUGGCAAUGCCGCAAGUAACUAGGACCGUCAAGCCCGGGAACCUAAAGCCUUCGCUCAAGCAUGCUUGAAGGUAAUCGUGCUGUUGCUGCAUCAUGUUGUUGAAGUUGGCGAACUGAGCAUCAGCAGAUUGUUGCCAUUCUUGCGUUUGUGCUAUGUGUUCCGAGAGGUUGUACUGAAUCUCUCCCCCGUCUGCAUAUCAAGGGUGUCCAGUCUACUAGAGAUUUCACCCAAGUCCCAACGAGAGGAACUUGAGCGCCAUCCACCAGGAGAUGGAGGCAAACCGCUUGAUCUGGAGGGUUGGUUGUCCCCCCAUUGUAUGUCAUGAGGUGCACGCCACCGGUCCUCACUGGCACUUGCCCAGCCUAAGACUCCGAUGUUGUGACGUGGAGCUUGGGUCCAUCCGGGUGCAUCCCUAGUUGGUUCCCAACCUCGCUCAUACAUCUGUACGGUGUUGAGGAUGAUGAACUUUCUCGUUCAUUUCUUGUCAUGUUGCGCGUCUCCCUGUAUGCUCCACCUGCACGAGAUUCUUCUAUGGUCUGCAGGGGUAUGGUUAGUUCAUGACAGUUGUACAAAUGAUACCCCGCAUUUGGCAACAGGAUUUCAUUUGUACAACCAGAGAAAAAGUAAAUCAAAGAUCCAUCUUCUCCAUGUUUCAAAAAAUGCCCUGCACUAGAUAGGCCUCAUCAAUACGCGGACGAGUAACUGAGAAAAAAGCAAUUUGGUCACUAACGACUCCUAGCCCUUUUGCUAUCCGAGUAAUCAGAGAAGUGCACUCAACAGGAGCAAAGAACUUGAUACUUUCUAACCAUUGCCUUAUCAUACAUUUCACAGGAGCAAUUUUAAUCUUUCUAACCAUGGCAAACAUAAUAAUCAAUUCAUCUCCCCUAAUGGGUCUAAUAUCACCUCUAGGAAACAAAGUCAUAGCAAUCCAUUUGUGCAUAAGCCUAAGUGUAGGAUUAUGGAUAUCAUUCGUUCUAGGUUUCUUGCAAAUUGUAGCACCGGAAAUGUCUUCCCAAAACCUAUUUUUCUCGAACCCAGAAAUUCCUUUCAAGAGAUCGAUUUUACAGGUAUCGUGAAAACCAAGAAGUGUACUUAAACCUUUCCAUGUAAGUGUAAACUCCUCAUGGAAAAAGCGAAAGGAAAUUCCAUCUUCUAUUUCUUUCAAAGUGCACAGAAAUUGCAAAGUAAGCAAACGAGAACCAGACUCAUCUACCACAGCAAAUUUCUGCCAACCAAUAGCUUUCCAAAUAGCACGAAAUUCAGUAUCCAUACCUAUCUUUUUCAGCAGCUCUGGUGAGUAUUCUCGCGUGUGAGCAUACUCCCGGUCGGCCAGCAUGUAGUAGCUUGUCUCUCCCGAUCACCAACAAGGUCAAGGUCGGCAUCGUUCAGGCUGAAAUUUUUACAAUUUGGUCCUUUUUGAAAACUUAUUUUACAAAUAGACCCCAGGGAAAACUUAAACCGGAAAUAGUCCUUUUUGGGGCGCCAGAGUGGCUGGCCCGUACCCCAACAUGGUGGCGCCNAACUUGGCCCGUGCCCCGUGCCACCGUGGCACUAGGGCUGUCGUGGAGGUGCUGACUGGGCAGAAAGGGGGCGCCAGCCACACUGGCGCCGCCCCUCAUACCACGGCGCCAGCAUAGCUGGCGCGCCCCUCCUCUGUGCCUUAAACCCCGUGGGCCCCACCACCUUUCUCCUCCCCACUCCCAUUUUCGCCAUUCCCAGCCCGAGCAGCGAGCUGCUGUUCUUCUCCCUCUCUCUCCCCCUCACCUCUCCACCUCAAAUCCACUCAAUUUGAAGCCGUUUUUCACGGGAUUUUUUGUGGAAAUCGAAGAGAAAGGUAGACUCCUUCAUUCCCCCCUCUUUUUUUUCAUUUUUAUUGGUUGAAUUUGUAGAUCGGUGGGUAACCCUAGAACCCCUUUUUUACCCAAAUUUGUGAUUUUUAGCAUUUGUUCUUAGGAUUGGCUUGUUGUAGUGCUACAUGUUUGCAAUGUACUCAUUGGUGUCAUGAUUUUUUUAACCAUAUAUGUGGUAAUGUUAAUUUUUGGAUGGUUUGGUUGGAUGGAUGGAUGAAAAAUUAUGGUUGAGGCAUGACGGAGGUUUGGGUUGUAUGAUAGAGUAUUUGUAAUAUUUCGAUGUGUAAUGCAGUAGUAAACUUGUUGAUAGUUGUAGGUGGAUUAAAUAUUUUUUUGGAGUAGUAGCUUUGGGACAAUUUAAGUUAUCCAUUGGUUAUAAUAUGUCGGUUUGGACUACGUUUAGGAAUGAAGAUUUAAUUUUUUUUGCAAAGUUACAUUUGAUUUUUUGGUGUAGAUGGAUAGACUUGUUCGUGUUUACUACGGUGGUAGAGUGGUGGAACCUUAUGUUGGUGGACAUGUUGAGUUUGAGGAUAUGUCAUUGAAGACCAUUUUGUUUCCCACCCACCCAACUCUAGAUGAACUAAGGUCACGAGUGAAAGAAGUUCUUGGAUGGACCGAGGAUAAUGUGGAGAUUCGUUUUUAUGGGAGAUACGAUGUUGGUCAAGGGCAUAAGUAUAUAUUAAAUGUGAUAAGUCAGUUGGAAUGGGAAGUUUACUUUGAUUUGGUAAAAGAGUCACAGUUUAGAUCUCUAGAGGUGUUUGCAUCAAAGUUAGUUCGUACCGUAGAAAAUUUGGAUCUAAACAAAUCUCCUUCUUAUCAUUACGUUGAGAAGAAUUUUGUGACAUAUUAUUCUCGUCGUGGAGGGGGUGCAAGUAAGAGUGAGUUGGUACGAGAAGACUUGGAGGGGGAAGGAGAGAAGAAGAGACCUUUGCUUGGAAAUGAUUUAUGGGAGGCAGGACCAUCAAAGAGACAUUGCGGUACUGAUGAUGUGGAUGCAGCGAGGGUGAUGAAAAGGGAGUUAGUACAAGAGGGGCUUGAUCUAAGUGAACAUUUGUCGGCGAGUGUUCAUUGGUCGUCGUACGGAGUCAACCCUGAAUACCCGACAGAAGUAGCUGGCCAAUAUGUGAAUCCAGAUGAUUACUUUGAUGUCGAAUUGAGUGGUGGUCACGAUUCUGUCUCAGUAGAAGUCAAUAGAGAUGAUGUUGACGAGGAGGCAAGUGUUGAGCAAUAUGAUGUUGAAUUUGCUGAAGACUCUGAUGAUGACCGUCCAUUCCCUCCACUUACUAAUAAUGACAAGUUAGCAUUAGAGGAAUGUCGUGCGUUUGAGAAGGUGUCUGGGAGGAAGCCGGACAUUCCUGAGUCUAGGGACCUAACACAUGCCCAUGGUGCACUACUAGAUCGCAGCAUCAACCUAGAUCAGUUGCCACAACCAUUCCAGGUGGAUGGUCUCAGAAAGGGUUUAGAGUUCCCAUCCAUGGUGCGCAUUGAAGCUAUGGCUCCAGGAGUACGCCAUCGUGCACCAUCGUCCAUACCGUGUUGUCAAUUCUGCCGCAAAUAGGAGGUACACUGUUAAAUGUGAAAACCCACGGUGCAAAUGGAAGGUCCAUGCAACUAAGAGGUCUAGUGGCACGUGGAGGAUAUCACGGGUAGGUAAGGAACAUAGUUGUGCUACUGCCGAAGGUUCAGGGAGCCACCGGCAACUGACAUCAAAGUUCAUAGCAAAUAGGUUAUGCAAUGCCAUAAAACUGCAACCUACACUCUCUGCUUCUGCGUUAGCUUUGUAUAUAUUGGAGGUUUUCCAGUAUAGGGUGAAGUAUGGCAAGGCUUGGAGGGCACGAGAGGAGGCUAUGAAGCUCAUUUACGGUGAAUGGGGUGAAGCGUAUGUCCGUUUGCCCACUUUGCUGCAAGCCAUUAAGCAGAGGAAUCCCAGUAUGGUCUACCACAUCGAUACUCAUCCUGAUAGGGUUGUCAACGUUGAUGGAGUGACCAAGAAAAUUUUUAUGCGUGCAUUCUGGUGCUUUGGUCCUUCCAUUGAGGCUUUUAAGCAUUGUAGGCCUGUACUAGCUAUAGAUGCAACCUUCCUAACUGGGAAAUACGGUGGUGCCUUGAUGACUGCAUUAUCAGCUGAUGCGGAGGACCAACUUGUACCUUUAGCUUUUGCCUUGGUGGAGAAAGAGAAUUCACGAGACUGGUGCUGGUUUAUCGAUCUUGUCCGACGGGUUGUGGUUGGGCCGCAUAGGGAGGUUUGUAUUAUCUCAGAUCGACAUGCUGGUAUAAUGGAAUGCCAUGAUGACUCCUAUUCCAGGAUUGCCAUCGGUUCACCACCGGUGGUGCAUGAAGCACUUCAGUGCUAAUUUCCACAAGGCCGGUGCGGACAAGCAUCAGACAAAAGAGCUCCUAAGGAUAUGUCAGAUUGACGAGAAGUGGAUAUUUGAGAGGGAUGUUGAGGCACUAAGGCAGCGUAUUCCCGAAGGUCCUCGUAAAUGGCUUGAAGAUGAGUUGUUGGAUAAAGAUAAGUGGUCUCGUGCAUACGAUAGAAAUGGCCGCCGGUGGGGUUACAUGACAACCAACAUGGCCGAACAGUUCAAUAGCGUGCUAGUUGGUGUUCGUAAGCUUCCAGUGACGGCCAUUUGUAUCAUUUACGUUCAUGAAGUGCAAUGACUACUUUGUGAACAGACAUGAUGAAGCUUUGAAGCGAGUCCAGUUAGGGCAGCGUUGGUCCACCAAGGUUGACAGUAAGAUGAAGGUGCAAGAAAGUAAGGCGAACAAACACACUGCAAGGUGUUUCGAUAAGCAGAAAAAGACAUACGAGGUCACAGAGAGGGGUGGUAUAACGCGUGGUGGUGUUAGAUUCGGCGCAAGAGCCUUCAAAGUUGAAGGUGAGGGGAACUCAUGUUCUUGCCAAAGGCCAUUGCUCUACCAUAUGCCUUGCUCACAUCUUAUACACGUUUAUCUGAUUCAUGCAAUUGAUAAGGAAUCUCCCAACCGAAUGCCGUAUCAGUUCUCUUCAAGAGCCGUUGUGAACACAUGGACAAGUCGCUUUGAGCCAUACCUCGACCCCACACAGUGGCCAUCGUACAAUGGUGAAGAAUUUGUUGCUGACCCAAAUUUGAAGAUUAAAACAAGAGGGAAGAGGAGAUCGAAACGAUUCAAGAACGAAAUGGACUCGGGUCUGGGUAGUUCUGGAAGGAAACCACCUUCAUGCGUUCAACUUGAUGCUGCGCCGGUGCAAAAUAGAUGCUCGUUGUGUCAUCAGGAGGGUCACAAGAAAACUAAGUGUCCUAAGCGUCCAAAAAAGAAGAAGUCCAAAAAAAAUUUAAGUGUUAGGGAGGUAAAUAUUUUGUUUUCCUACUCAUGUUCUCGCAUUCAUUUUCUUUUAAUAUAUGUCACAUUGGUAACUAACGGUGAAUUUAUUACUUUUUCAUGUAGGAUGGCCGAGCAGGGACAACCGCCGACUUACCCAGCCUUGGAGGCGUACUACGAGGCCCGUCAUCGCGGGGCUGCGAUCGAGGCGGGGAGGGUAUGAAUCGGCAUUGAUUCACUUGUGCAUAAGUAUCGGUAGCGUGUAUUUGACAUUAUAUUAACUAAUUGAUUUACAAUUGCUAAUGCAGGUACUUCAACCGCUCCGAGUCAGAGCUCAUACCCCCCCAGUGUUCGACGAUAGGUACAUCCCGUACCUAAAGGCUGCCGGGUUGCUCGGGGUGGCCUUGGUCGUGAGCAGAGGAAUGCCAGUCUUCAACGCUCCUGCGUUGACAGCACUUGUGGACAGAUGGAGGCCUGAGACACACAGCUUCCAUCUCCCCAGUGGUGAGAUGACCAUCACUCUACAGGAUGUGGCUAUGAUCUUGGCCCUCCCAUUACGGGGGCAUGCCGUGACGGGCAGGACAGAGACUCUUGGAUGGCAUGCACAAGUGCAGCAGCUGUUUGGCAUUCCACUGAACAUUGAGCAGGGGCAAGGGGGGAAGAAGAAGCAGAAUGGAAUACCCCUGUCUUGGCUGAGUCAGAACUUCUCACAUCUUGACGACGAUGCUGAGCCAUGGCGUGUUGAGUGUUAUGCCCGUGCAUACAUCUUGCACUUGUUGGGACGGGUUCUGUUUCCUGAUGCUGGGGGUGACAUUGCUUCGGCGAUAUGGAUUCCUUUGGUCGCCAACCUUGGUGAUCCUGGGCCGUUCCAGUGGGGGUGGACAUAUAGACAGAUCUGUGAGGCCUGUUGUCGUCAGGCACCAUCAUCCACAUGAGUGUUGUGUGCUAUGGAUUCAGAUGUGAAUGUGUUAAAGACUACCGUUUGAAGGCCUAAGUGGAGCCAAAGUUUCACUCNUUGGCCCUACAAUGAGCCAGACAUGGAGAAGACAGUGGCCUACCUUUGUGAGAGUACUGCCACUGCACAUGCUCACCGGGAUGUGGCAUACAAGCAUUAUGUCAAUGAGAUGGACUGCUUGCAGCCUCAACAUGUAAGUACUUCCAAUAUCACUUCUAGUUAGACAUUUACUUCUUUAAUUGAGAUACUAACCAACGACAUCUCUUCAACUUUUGCAGAUUGAGUGGUUACCAUACCACACAAAUGAGGCUUCAAGCUUGACCCUGAACUCGAUGUGCAAUCGAGACUCUGACUAUUUCAUGUACCAGUGCCCAUUGAUUUGUUUCUGGGCAGUUGAGUACCACCUUCCGCACCGUGUCAUGCGACAGUUCAGGAAGAAACAAGAUUGGCCGGUUGAGGACAUCUCAACUGGAGUUGAAUUACACAAGUAAAUAUUUCUUAUCUUUGUUUGCUUUCAUUGUCAAUGUUCAAUUUUGUACCAUUUAACCCUUGACGAUGCUCACUACUGUUUCAUCACCUUGUACUUAUCUAGGUAUGACAGGGUGAGAACAAAGAAGGUGAAAGACUGGGGGCUAGAGCAUAAUAGAUACAUUGAUGAAUGGAGAACAGCCGGAAGGAACGAUAGGUACAUCGAGACUAUACACCAAAAUCACCUUUUCUCAGAGUACCUUCGUUGGCUGCAUAGGACAUAUAGACUGUUCCUCCGCCCUACUUGGACGGAAGCCGACAUAGAGGAUGACCGCGACUCCGAUGAGGGGCGGAAUCCCUAUGAUGUCCGGACUAGAGUUGGAUAUCAAAUGGAGCACGCCCCACUUAGAGACAGAGUCGUAAGUUUUCUUGCAUUUGUCAAAGUUACUUCCAUUUGCACCCUAGACCCUAACAUAUAUAUUUUCACGCUUUCAGUCGAGAGAGCUCCUCAGGAGUGUGAAUGAAAUGGGGCAUGCCCUCCAAGCUCCGAGGGGUGGUGAGGACACGGAGAACACGCUCCGCAAUGUUUUAGAGGUAAAAUUUAUUUAGCACUUUGCAUUACUUGAGUUAUGCCUAACAAACUUCUUUUUUUUUUGAAAUGCAGAAAGUUCGUCAAAGGUCCCGGAAACUUGCAGCAAGAUUAGGUUGCAGGUCGGUUGGAUUGGAUGACGUGUACCUACCGGGGAGACUACCACCACCACUACCUCAAUCCGCGCGUCCAAGUACUGCUCGACACUCCAUCAGGAUAGAAGAGCGUGAAGGAGUUGGUGGCUCGUCGUCGUCACGCAUUAAGCAAGGGAGGGGAAAGGGGAAGGCGCCGGCUCCACCUAGCGACGACGAUGACGAUGAGGACGAGGAGGAUGAGGACUACGUCGCACCAGACGCCGAGGAGAUAGACAUGUCACAGCUUCCCGACGCGCCUCAGGGGACGCAACCCACGCAAUACAACUUGCGAUCCACUCGGGCAGCGAAAAAGAGGUAAAAUGAGCUUACCAUUCUCAAAUGUUAUUUGAUUUCCCUUAUUUUGUUUUUAAAAUGUUUUAAACAUUGGAUUUUCAAAUGUAGGUACACUCCGGGCUCGCAAGCAAUUCGGCGCCAACGGAAGAAGUAAUUUGUAUGAAGUUAAUCUAUUGGUUGGUAGUAUGACAUAUGUGGUGCACUAUGUGAUAUAAAAUGUGAUGGACUAUGUGAGGACUAUGUGAUGGACUUUUGACAUUGUUUCAUGUGUGGAAUAUAGGAUGGACUUUUUGCAUUGUUUGAUGUGUGGGAUAUGUGAUGGACUUUUGGCAUUGUUUGAUGUGUGGAAUAUGUGAUGGACUAUGUGAGGACUAUGUGAUGGACUUUUGGCAUUGUGAUUUGUGCAAUUGGAACCCGUUUUAGUCUGUACGAAUCUGUGAAUUGUGACUUUGCCAUUGCCAACUGUGAAUUGGUACAUUUGUGCAAUAUGGAUCUUCAAUUUGCAGGGAGGCAGAGGGCGGCGCCAACCACCCUGGCGCCGAGGUUGUGAAGGGCGGCGCCAGCCAGUGCCGCGAGGCAGAAGGGUUUCGGGCUGGGGGAGGGCGGCGCCAGCUACCCUGGCGCCGUGGUCCAUGAGGGCGACGCCAGCCGAGGCCCGGAGGCAGAAGGGCUUCGAGGGGGGGCGCCAGCCACCCUGGCGCCGCGGUCGGGAGGGGGGGGCGCCAGCCGUUGCCUGGAGGCAGAACAGACUUGGCGAAAAUUUUGGGGGGGGGGGAAAGUUGGUGGGGCCCACAGAGGAGGGGCGCACCAGCCAUGCUAGCGCCGUGCUAUGAGGGGCGGCACUACUUUGGCUGGCGCCCCCUUCGGCCUAGUCAGCACCUCCACGACAGCCCUAUUGCCACGGUGGCACGGGCACGGCGCCAGUGUGGCUGGCGCCGCCAUGUGGGGGUACGGCGCCAGCCACUCUUGCGUCCCAAAAAGGACCAUUUCCGGUUUAAGUUUUCCCAGGGGUCUAUUUGUAAAAUAAGUUUUCAAAAAGGACCAAAAUGUAAAAAUUUCAGAUCGUUCAGGAGUCGUCGGGGAGCUUCGGCGUCUUCCAUCAUGAUAUCGGCUGAUGAACGAGCACUAGACUCGUCAUGACAACUUGACGAAGAGCCAGACCCCUUGAACAGACGAGACAAUCACCUCCUCAUUCUGCACAAUGGAGCAAGAACGGACUAACUCGGCGGGGGUUAGAAAUGACAAGAGUUUCAACCGCCGGUUGGUUUCACCAAAGCAACUUGUAUAUAUGCAACAAAAUAUUUGAAUUUGAGGGAAACUAUCAAAGCUUGAGUGAACUUGUGAGCAAACUUUGGAGAGGGAAUGAAAAAUAUGUUGAAAUGGUGUGGAAUUCCCUCUCUCGGCCGGCUGAAUUUUAUAGGGUACCCACAACGGUCAGAAAUGACAUGUUGGACCCACUAGCUGUUACCCUGCCAAAAGUGGCAGGGAACCACGGCCUGGCUGGAUGGGUUCGCCCGAACCCCUGGUAGGCCCAACCGGCCCCACUUUCGGCCGUUGAGUUCCAACGGUCAGUGUGGUCGUGGCAUAGUAAAUUUUUGUUGAAAAUUUUAUUUUGGGUUUGCUCCUGAAAAAUUCAUUUGAAGAAUUUUCUCAAAAUUCAAAAAUCCUAAAUGCAAUUUUGAAAAUUAAACAUGUGAUGAUGCAAAAAUUCAAAUUUGUUAAAAGCAAAUAUGCGGAUACAUACCAAUUUACCUGUUGGCGAAGGUCGCGUCAUUUAAAGUCCGAUGUGCAAGACUGUACCUCCUUCCGAUUUAGUUCAUGGAUUUUCCACCCGUCUCUGCAGGUGAUGGAGUGGGCGUCUUCGGCUUCUCCCUCCACACCUUCUUUGUUUUAGGUGCGGACGGCAGCUUCUUCUGAGCCGACUGCUCUAGCUGUUUGGCCGGCACGGGUGGUUUUACCGGCGUCCUCCAAUAACGGUUGCUGGGCAUCGUUGUUUCCUUCUCCAAGAAAUUCUGCAUGAAUUUCACCAGGCUGUCCGUUUUGGGUGGCUCCACUUCGACCUCUUGAAUAUUUUGCAGGUUCGGUCCGUACUUUAUUCUAACCUUGGAGCAUUGUUCCGUCCUCGGUUGAAACUCAAACUUUUCCUCCUUUCCGUUGAUAUGGAAACGGAUACUCCCCGUUCCCACGUCAAUAUUGGCUCCCGCGGUGCUGAGGAACGGACGCCCUAGGAUGAGAAGCGUCUCCUUUCCCGUCUCCAUGUCCAGCACCACGAAAUCAACUGGGAUGAAGAAAUCCCGUAUCUUGACUGGCACAUCUUCCGCUAUUCCUGCCGGGUAAUGGACUGACGAGCCAGCCAGUUGUAGGCGCAUCGGUGUUGGUGCCAACACCGUGAAGUUGAGCUUGUCGAAAACGUCUUUUGGCAUGACGCUGACGCUGACUCCAAGGUCACACAAGGCCUGGACGAAUUGCUAUACCCCGAUCGAGCAGGUGAUCGUGGGACAUCCCGGAUCCUUCUUCUUUUCUGGGAGCUUGUGGAGUAUCACGUUGCUGCAUUGUUCCGUUAGCUUGACCACCUCCAUUGUUGGGAGCGGUCUCUUGUUGUUGAGUAUAUCCUUUAGAUAACGAGCGUAUAUUGGCACUUGCAUGGCGUCCAACAACGGCAUGUUGAUGUGGAUCUUCUGGAUUACUUCAACAAAAUGAGCGAAUUGCUCAUCCACUGAUGGUUUCCUACUUCGUUCAUGGAAUGGCAGCAACCCGCGUGUCGCAGUACUCCUGCGGCACUGUCUUUUCUGGCUGAACUUCCUUGUCAGCCGAGUCAUUGGAUGGUGCUUCUUUUGAUAUCCCAUUACUUCCUGCAGGGUUAGGAUACGGCGGAUCACGAGUGGACUUACCUCCUCUCGUUGUGAUCACCUUAACAUUUUCGAUGGAGGAGUCGGGUUGCCCCGGAAUCCUUCCAGUUUCAUAUGCAGGGACUAAGGAUGCUAGCUGAGCUAACUGGGUUUCUAUCAUUUUAUUGAAGCUCAGCUGAUUUUGAAAAGCAGAAGCAAAGCCAUCUAGCUUGACAUUUAUGUUCUCUAGGACCUUAUCAAUGGCAGCAAGCUUCCUGCUUAGCGUAUCAGUGGUUUUAGCUUGUGCAAAAACAAGAUCCUUUAAGGAGGGCUGGUUAGAGAAGUUACCGUUAUUGUUACCUCCUAGAUAAUAUGGGCGUGGUUGGUUCCACCCUUGACCUCCUUGUGGACGAUACCCGUUAUUGUUCUUGACCUCCUUGUGGACGAUACCCGUUAUUGUUGUUGCCCAUGUACAUCGCCUCCUCACGGGUUUCCGUGCAGUCAUUCCCAGAAUGACCCGUGUUGCCGCAGACCUCACAUAUGACGUGAGAGUCCAAGGCCUUGACGGUGCCUUGUGGCCGUUUCUCAUGGUUGUCCAACAGUUUCAUUAUGAGGUCCAGCUUGGCAGCAAGUAGUUCCGUCUCCUUGACGGUGUGCAUGCCUCGCUGACGGGUCUGGAGUCAUUCCUCGCUCCAACCCAUAUUGGAGACCAUCUACUCUGUCAGAUCAACAGCUCCUUGAACAGUUUUAGAGAAGAAAGCUCCUCCAGCUGCCGCGUCCAGGUGAGUCCAUUGUAAAAUUUCUGCAAGAUCAGCUAGUCGUCCAUCCCAUGAUGAGGACAGGCGGCCACAUAUUCUUGUAGACGUUCCCACGCUUCAGGAAUAGACUCAUCCCUUGUCUCCUAGAAACUUGAAAUCCUUCCACGAAGGGCAUUGGUUUUGCCCAUCGGGAAGAACUUCGAGAGGAAUGCCGUAGAGCAUUUAUCCUAGGUGUUGACAGCAGCACGGUUGGCAUAGAACCACUGCUUCGCUCUCCCGAGAAGGGAGAACGGAAACAGUCGUAGCCUGACGGUGUCGGGACUGACGCCCUUGAUGGUGUACGUGCUACAAAUCUCCAGGAAUUGUUGCAGAUGAGCGUUGGCAUCCUCAUUAGGCUUGCCACAGAACGGGCUAGCCUGCGCCAUUGUGAUGAGGCUGGACUUCAAGUCGAAAUCCACGUCUCCCAUGUUGAUCUGUGGCCCAAUGGCCACAUUGUCAGCAGAGGGAGCAGUGAACUCAUGGAGAGUCUUGCUAGCCAUAGUCUUGAAAGUCGGUGGCGCUGGUAUGGCUGGUUUCUCUGUCGGUAGAGUUUUCUGCGAAGCAACGACUCGCGGUCUGACGCUCCAGAAGAAAGCUUCCGGAUUUUCUUUGAAGUUUUCCGGCAAGUUGAAACCAGUCAUGCACUACCCUAUUUUCACAACAAAAGUGAAAACAACCAAGGUCUGCAAAGGAAAAUGAUUAUACAGAGGCAAAUAUAAAAUAUUAGUUCAAGUAAUCUCUAUUAUGAAUCUUCCCCGGCAACGGCGCCAGAAAUGCUUGUUGGUAUUUCUUAAUGACAUUACUAGAAAUAUAAUCCCCAGCAACGGCGCCAGAAAUGCUUGUUGGUAUUUCUUAACUACAUUACUAGAAAUAUAAUUCCCAGCAAUGGCGCAGAAAUACUUCUGGUAUAUUAUGGUUAUAGAGUUCAUCCGCAAGCGCACGGAUAUACCAUUGUAUCAUUUCACCCAAGAGUAUUCCAAGGGUAUCGUAUUUAUUUUAUCCAUUGGGAAGAUCAUGUAGAGAUAACUUGACUAAUAAUUUAUAUAUUGCUUGUGAUAAUCAUAUUCUAAGCAAGGGUUAAGACAAUCCAAGGGUAGAGUGACACACAAGCAUUAACUACUCAAUCUCAUAAUAUAUUAUCUAAGCUAAGUGGAAAGAAAAGAGAAAGAUAAUCUAUUCCUAUACUUCUAAUAUACAUAGUAUACAUGCAUCCUAGUUAACUGAUAUACUAGCUAAUACCCUCUUUCCGAUGCCCUCCUGGUACUUCGAGAAGCCACCCCUGACUGCCGAGUUCCUUACGACAGCCCGUCAUGACCAUAUAACCGGGGCUAAAUACGGAGGAAUACCCUCCCCAGGGAAUUAACUUAGGAUUAUAUAUAGGCACGGAGGAAUACCCGUACUGAGCUAUCACCAACAGUGGCCCACCUCUCAUCCGUAAUAUAUAACCCCAAAUAAUGAUAUCCCGUAAUCUAGACACCACGUCUAAACUACUAGAUACUACUCUAAUAUCAUCGUGAUGACAUAGAGUAAUUGCAUAAACAAACAUUAUACCCGCACCAAAGCAUCUCCCAGAUAAGCUGGCCGUAUAUUCAGUAUAACAAGAACAUAAUGUAAAAUAGGUACUCAUAUACUCGGAAAGUAUUUCAAUACCAUAAAUGCAUUUAGAAGAGUAUUCUAAUAAAAGUACAAAGCUUACAAAAGAGGAAAGGAAAGCUGCUAGAGCCAUACCUGAACUCUUCCGAAGGCUUCCGGACUCCGAUUUCUACUCUAUUCCUAUUCCACCAGCUAGAUACUACUAAACUAAGCUUGAGAGAAAUGAGAGAGCUAAUUGCUUGAGGUGUGUGAGUGAAGUGAGGAGGUGAAGUCCUUAUAUAGGCAGGUAAUGACGGUUGUGACGAUUGGAAUAGUCGGUAAUACCCUGCAACCGUCAUUGGGGAGUGAUCCACGCCGUUUAGAAGAAACCCUGCAUCCAGCGGCGAUGAGAUGGGUUCGGCCGAAUCACCAGGUUCGGCCGAACCUGGGGUCAGCCCAAUCCAGCCCAAUUUCGGCUGGUGUCCUCCUGCAUUGUUCAUCUCCGCAGACUUUUGAAUUUUGGCCCAAUUCAUCAUGUCAGUUCUGAGUUCUUGGCCCACUUAUUCAUAAGUCUGGUUCUCGACAUCGUCCGAUUGAUUUAUCAUUUACGUUCAUGUAGAUUCUCCUUCACUUUAUUGUCAUUCUCUGCAAAAGGUUAGUAAACAUAAUACUAGUGGAAUAUUAUUACUCUAACACAUUUAUGCAUUGCAAGCAUCACUAGUUCUCCCCUAUUUUGGUAAUAUUGACCGUCGAAACUGAUCGAUAACGACCGUCAACAGAGUCGUGCCGGCUAGGUGAAGACUCGGCCUUCAGCUUGCGGUGUAGCCCACAGGCGUAUAGAGCCUCCCUAUAGGGGUGGUGGAGUUGUGCCGGCUGGUUGAGGACGCAGCCCCCGGCUUGCGGCACAUCCCCCAGGCUUGUAGGGCCCGCCUAGGGGCGGUGGAGUCGUGCCGGCCAGGUGAAGAAGCAGCCUCCAGCAUGCGGUGCAGCCCCCAGGCAUAUAGAUCCUGUCUAGGGGUGGUGUGGUCAUGCCGGCUGGUUAAGGACAUAGCCCCCGGCUUGCUGCGCAGCCCCCAGGCGUGUAGGGCCUACCCAGGGGUGGAGGAGUCGUGCCGGCCUGGUGAAGACUCAGCCUCCGGCUUGUGGCGCAGCCCCCAGGCAUAUAGAGCCUGCCUAGGGUUGGUGGAAUCGUGCCGACUGGUUGAGGACGCAGCCCCCGACUUGCGGCGCAGCCCCCAGGCGUAUAGAGCUUGCCUAGGGCCAAUGGACACAAAGGGUGUGUUUCGAGUUGGAGCCCAUGAUGAAUUGAUCAAAGUGUAAUGUUUCUUUCAUAUCACUAAGGAGCUUACACAAAAAACUGACGAAGAUGCUCUAUGUUCCAUGAGUUGGUGAUGUCUUCCCCCUCCAUGGUCGCUAGUCGGUAGGAUCCUGGGCGAAUGACGGUGGUGACCCUGUAUGGCGCUUCCCACGGUGGCGAUAGCUUGUGUUGAUCUCUGGUGGUUUGCACUUGGCGCAGGACUAGGUCGCCAACCGAGAAUGAGCGGUCGUGAACAUUGCGACUAUGGGAGCUGCUGAUAUCGAGCCGACUCAUUGAUUGCGGCUUCUCGCUCCUCUUCUUGCUGAAUGUUGUCUUUCUGUGCCACCUUCUCGGCUUUGCAUUCAUCAUAGUGGCGAACAUGGUGAGAGCUGAGUGACAACCCGGUGGGGAGGACUGUUUCUGCUCUGUAGCACAAAAAGCUCGGGGUCUGCACCGUAGCUCGACUUGGUGUAGUACGUGACCACAAAACUGAUGGAAGUUCUUGUACCCAUUUGCCAGCCUAGGGCUUUAGUGGUCGAAGAUCCAUGUCUUGAUGCCUUGCAACACCAUGCCGUUGGCGCGCUCCACUUGGCCAUUGCCUGCCGGGUGCACGACGGAUGCAUAGCAGAUUUUGAUGCCAAGCUCUUCUUAAUAUUCUUGGAAUACGGAGCCGGUGAACUGAGUGCCAUUGUCAGUAAUGAUACGGUUGGGUACUCCAAAGCGGUAGACUACCCCUUCAUGAAUUCCUUGGCGUUGGCAGCAGUGAUCUUGACGACCUGCUUUGCCUCUAUGCAUUUACUGAACUUGUCGAUGCAGACGAACAAGUGGGUGAUUCCACCUGGAGCUUUCUUGAAGGGGCCGACCAUAUCGAGGCCCCAUACUGCGAAUGACCAAGAAAUUGGGAUCGUUUGGAGUUCAUUGGCCGGCACGUUGGUGUUGUGGGCGAAGAAUUGGCAUCCCUUACAGGUGUAGACGACUUUUUUGGCAUCUGUGACCACGGUCUGCCAGAAGAAUCCUUGACAGUAGGCCUUUCCGAGGAGUGUAUUGGAGGCGGCGUGAUUGUCGCAUAUACCCGAGUGGCUCUCGGUCAGCAAGUCUCUCCCUUCUUCUUAUCAUAUUCAUUUCAUGAGGAUCCCCAUGGUUCCCCAGAAGUAUAAUUCGCCAUCGACAAUGGAGUAGUAUUUGGAUUGUCUUGAAAUUUUCUUGGCGAGGGGUCUGUCAGAGGGCAGAACACCGUCUCUAAUGUAUGUGGGCAGCGGGACCUGCUAGUCAUCAGAGACGGCGAGUACCUGAGGUGUUGUAGUCUUGCCCUUGUCGAUGGACGGCUUGCCGAGUCGCUCGAGGAAGACACUGGGUGGGACCGGCUCCCAUCUGGAUCCAAUGCGGGAGAGUGUGUCAGCCUCGGCAUUGUCAUUCGGCUGAUGUGAGUGAGCUCGAGGCCAUCGAACUUGUCCUCUAACUUGCGGACCUCCUGGCAAUAAGACACCAUCUUGUCGUCAGAGCAAUGCUAGUCCUUCACUUGGGAGACAACGAGCUGAGAGUCGUCUUUGGUCAUUACCCGGCGGAUGCCUAGGGCAAUGGCGAUGCGCAAGCCAUGUAGAAGAGCUUCAUACUCGGCAUCAUUGUUGGAAGCAGGGAAGUGGAGCUGGAGGACGUAGCGUAGUUUUUCUCUCUUGGGUGAUGUCAACACAGCGCCUGAGCUGGCACCUGACGCCAUGAACGAUCCGUCGAAAAAGAGCUGCCAGUGCGCCGAGUCAGGCUUGUCGCCCGGCUGCUGUUCUUCCGUCCACUUGGCGAUUAAGUCAGCCAGGACCUGAGACUUGAUGGCCACCCUUGGUUGAAAAGAGGUGUCGAUGGCUAUCAACUCAAGUGCCCACUUGGCAAUGCCACCGGUGGCCUCCUUGUUGAACGUGAUGUCCUUCAGUGGGAGUGUGGUGACGAUCGAUAUUAGAUGAGCUUGAAGGUAGUGACUGAGCUUGCAGGCGGUGAUGAAUAUGGCGUACAACAUCUUCUGGAUUUGAGUGUAUCUUGUCUUCGAGUCGGUGAGGACCUCGCUGAUGAAGUAGACCGGGCGCUGGAUUUUUUGACCAGCACCGUGCUUACCACAUGUGUGGUCGCUGCGAUAUAAAGGAGAAUCAGCUCUUGGGGGAGCAGCGCCGUGAGCACUGGUGGGCUGGUGAGGAAACGCUUGAAGUCGUUGAAGGCGGAUUGAGCUUCGUCGUUCCAGGUGAAAUUGUCAGUCUUCUUGAGCAAUUUGAAGAAUGGCAUGCCGUGCUCGCCCAGCCUUGAAGUGAAGCAACUGAGCGAGGCCAUACACCCUGUCUGCUUCUGUAGUUCCCUCUGGUUGGCACGCGGCUACAUGGAGUGAAUUGCCGCUAUUUUUCCUGGGUUGGCAUCGAUGCCGUGCCUUGAGAUCAUGAAGCCAAGUAGCUUUCCCGACGACACGCCGAAAGUGCACUUCUCGAGUUUAAGCUUGAACUUGAAGGCGCAAAGGUUGUUGAAGGUUUCCUCCAGGUCGGUGAUGAAAUCCUCGUGCGCCCGGGUCUUGAUGACGACGUCAUCGAUGUAGGCCUCCACGUUACGCCCGAGCUGGUCGUGUAGGCACCUCUGCAUUGUUCAUUGGUAGGUUGCUCCAGCGUUCUUGAGCCUGAAGGGUAUGGUGAUGUAGCAGUAGGCGCCAAACGGCGUGAUGAAGGAGGUCUUUAUGCAGUCAUCCUCUUUGAGGGCGAUCUGGUGGUAGCCCGAGUACACGUCGAGGAAGGAGAGCAGCUCGCACCCAGCCGUAGAGACCACUGCCUAGUCAAUGUGUGGGAGCCCGAAGGAGUCCUUGGGGCAAGCCCUGUUAAGAUCAGUAUAAUCAACGCACAUACACCAUUGCUUAUUUCUUUUUCUUACAAGAACAGGAUUGGCCAACCAAUCCGGGUGAUACACCUCCUUGAUGAAACCAGCAGCUAAGAGUUUUUAAAUUUCAUCCCUAAUUAUUUCGUUGCGGUCGACAGCGAAGCGACGAAGACGUUGCUUGAUUGGUUUGGCGUCUGGACGCACAUGCAAGGCGUGCUUGGCAACUUUCCUUGGGACACUAGGCAUGUCAGAAGGCUUCCAUGCGAAAAUGUCUUUGUUGGCCCAAGGAAGCUGACGAGCGCACUUUCCUAUUUGUCGCCCAACCCGGCGCCGAUGACCACCGUUUUCUCCAGAGUCAACGGGUCGAGGAUGAUCUUUUUGGUGGGUGCGUCGCAGGCACCCAUGGAGAGUUUUGGUGCUUUUGCCGCUGGGAACUCUGGUUCGCCGGGUGACUUGUUGGCGAUGUCAGUGGCGAUGGACUGCUGUUGCAGUGAAGCCUUGAUGGAUUGGGCCUUGUCGCAACUUUCCUUGUCGCACACGAAGGACUGCCUGAUGUCAGCCUGAAGUGAGAUGAUGCUGUUGGGGCUGGCAUCUUCAACAUGGCAUAGACGUACUGAGGGACGGCCAUGAAUUUUGCCAUGGCGGGCCUAUCGAAGAUGCCUUGGUAGGACGUUUCGAAGUCAGUGACCUCGGAGACCACGUUCUCUGUGCGGAAGUUGUCGAGGUUGCCGAAAGUGACCGGCAGAGUGACUUGUUUGAGUGGGGUCGAUGACGUGCCGGGGAUAAUGGCAUCGAAGGGCGAUUUUCUCGGGAGCAUGGAAUAUGGCAAACCCUUGUCCCUGAUGAAGUUGCAUUUAUCCCCCUAGUGGGUUUUAGUGAUUAAUGAUGAAUAAAGUUAAGGGACUAAUGUGUUUAUUGAGACAUUCAGGUAAUUAGUCCCAAGGUGAUCUUAGGUGAUCAAGAGAUGCUUGCAGACCCCUACAGCAUUCAUUCAAAGCGGAUUUGAAGCUCGAAGGUGUCACGACCGGAAAUAACCCAGCGGGCGUUCCUUACGUGCGUGUAUUAUUCCUUGUCCCAGGAGGCAACGUACACCAAAAGUUGAUACAAUUCAGAGUUUAACAAGCGGAAGCGUAAAUAGUUAAUUAUUACAUGGGCGACGAGGGCCCAGCACACUCAAAGACAACGAAAAACAGCGGAAGACUAGGGCGACGACCACAGGCGCUUGACGGCAGGCACGAGCUAAACACCAAAGCCUUCAUCAUCCAGGAGCUUCUCUUCUGGGUUUGGGAAAAAUUGAGUAAGACUAAGUACAACCACCGUACUCAACAAGACACACCCACAAGUGCAAUAUAAAUGCAAAGGAGUACAAUGGAGUUAUAGUAUAGGGGUUAGGGUUUGCAGUAAACAGCAUUUAAAAGACUCUUAGUUGCUCAAAGCUAAAUUUAAAACACGAUCCUAGAACUAUUUAGUAUUAUUAAACAAGGCCGUGAACCCACACGAACCUGCCUUAACCCAAGGCCUACGAUGAUUCAGACCAAACUGGCAACCCGACCCUGGGUCCCAGCUCGUCCCAAGCCAACCCAGGCCAACCAUUCCACAUUUUAGUUGUUAAGCAGGUUUUAAGAAUUAAAAACACUAACUUGGGUACAUUGCUAGGCUUGCCCAUAACUGAGGGCGCGGCUAUUCGAAUAGGUUUUACUCUGAUCAGAGGUGUACAUCUUUACCCACAAGACACGUCUUCCUCACGUGCAACCACGUGCCACAUACCACCACGGCAUAUGGACGGAAGACAUGACAUAGUUCCCAACCCAUCCUAGCCAUUGACAAGAGUACCGACCCAACCCCACCUACGGCCGGAACCUCCGGGACAGGUAGGCAGGACUGAGCCCCUUGCAGCAGGACACCAGCCCUGUGCUAUGAGAUCUCGACUACCGGGCCGCAGCUCGUGUAGCCUUCAUUUAUCCUAGAGAUGUCCAUCGACCCCCGACUUCGUCCAUCUCCAUCCGUGUACUUUUGUUUAUAACCAGACUGAGCCACAAACUAAGCCUUACCCACUAGACAUGUGGAAGUACGGUAGUGCUUUGCAACAGAGGCCCGAAGACCGGUCCUUAUGUGGCCGAGGUGCUACUAUCGAAACCAUGCACCCCGAGCCCAGCCUAAAACCAUUUUGAGGGUUUUGAAUAGAGGGGGAGGUGUGCAUCCAAUUCCACAAUAAUCCAACCAUUCCAAUAUGUUCAAGUGAUAUGAAUAUUACCAAAGUCUAAAGUUAUAAAAACCACCUAAUGUUGUCCUAUUAAUCAGCGAAGCAUCUACCUAAAUUCUUACUAGGGGAACCAUGAGUAGAGUGCCCACUAGCUAGGGUUUUGUUUAUUCUAGGGUGAACAAGGUAAUAAUAACAAUAACAAUAAUAAGGUCAUAACAAAGGUAAAUAGGCAUGGCUAAAUAAAACAGUGAUAACGCGGGAAUUUAAAUAAAGCGAUAAUGCAUUAAUUUAAAUCAAAAUAAUUUCACAAAGUGGGAUCCAAUAUGUUCAAAGAUGAUGUGACUUGCCUUGCUCGCUUUCCCAAACGCCGGCUUCAACCUCCACGAAGAGCGGAUCUUCCGAAGCUGCAGCAUCUACACGACCAACGGAAAAGAAAAGGGCUUUUACUAUAGUAAACUCCAUAUAACAAGCAGGAACAAAGCACAAAAAUGGGUUCUUGACUUGUUAAGGAAAAAUUAGAGACUUGAACGGUCCAAUUCCGAGUUCAAAUGGCCAAGUUAUGGCCAUUUGAAGUUUAUAUGCUCUUUUAAUGAACAUUUUCGAAUUUCUUCAUUUAAAUUUUAAUCAAAAAGAGAUUUAUUGCGUCAGCCGGGGGAGAGGGCGCGCGGACCGGGUCCAUGGGAGUGGGACCCACGCGGCAGCCUCACGGUCCACGGUGGACCGGGUGCACCCGGCUCACACCGGCCGGCGCCGUGGGCCCCACGCGUCAGCCGCACCCGAGGGAGCGGGCGGCUGACGGCCGGGCCCCACGCGGCAGCCGCUAGGCGCGCCAGGAGGCCGGCGGGAGGCGGCGCGCCCGCGCCCCUAUGAUCGCCGGCGGCGGCCAUAGGCACGGCGGAGCGGCGACCGAGAGAGGGGAGGGAAAGGGGGAAACGAAGCGGCAGUCCACGGCUCACCUCGGGUCGACGGCGACGACGGAAACGGCGACCGGAGCGGAGGAUGGCGGCGGCACGGCUCGGGUGGACGGGGUCGACGGUGCUCCGGCGGUCGGCGACCGAAACGGAGAGGUGGACGAGGUCGGCGAGGAUGCGCGAAGCCGAAGGAGCGCGCCGAGGUGGGAGGGGGUCCGGGCGACGACGGCGCGGACCGGUGCUCGCGCGACGGCGGAGAGAGAGAGCGACGCGCGAGCUCGAAUCCGGCGAGGAGGAAGGGCGGCAAGAGGCGGAAACGGACUGGAGAAGCGCGGGGAGGGUUUAAAUAGGGUUGGAAGGGGGAGAGGCGGCCGGCGGGGAAGGAAUAGGCGCGGGAGGUCCGGCCGCCAUCAAUGGCGCCGGCGAGAUUUGUGGGGGCAAAUCCGCCCGUUUGAAUGAGGGAGAGAGAAGGAAAAAUGGGGGGAAAGGGGGAGGGGAUCCCGGGGAAUAAUUCCCCCUACUUGCACACGGGGACGGCGGGAUGCAGCGGAAUCGGCGGCGGCGGCGGCGCUUGGCGCGGGUGGGGCGGCGGGAGCGGCGGGAGGAAGGGGAUGACGGGUGGGCCCCACCCGUCAGCGAGGGUGGCGGGCGGGCCCGCCCGUCAGCGGCGCGCUCGCGGGGAGGAGGCCGAGUGGGCCGCGGAGAGAGGAGAGAGAGGGGGAGGGAGAUGGGCCGAGGCGGCCCAAGAGGGGGAGGGAGGGUUUUUAGGGUUUUUCUUUUUAUAAAAUCAUUUCAACUUUGUUUAUUUCUUAUUAAUUAUUAUUUGUGCUCUGAAAAUUCCACUAAAAUUUAUUUACACAUUUUAGGCUUUUAGGAAAUAUACAAAAAACCUCCAAGCCUUAAUUGACUUUUAACUUUGCACAUUUUAAUUUUUGAAGGCUUUCACAAGGAUUUUAAUUAUUCUAGGCAUAAUUUAAAGGGUAUAUUUUAGGGUCGUUUUGGGACGCGACAGAAGGUCAAUAGGUUAGUUUAAUUUUUGAAAUCGAGUUUUAGGAAAAACCGUACUAUUAAGAGGAGUUUCAAGUGUGGUUUUGAGAUAUAAAAAGUGCUCUUAGUGGGUUCCUAGUGAUAAAAAAUUUUCUGGAGACAUUUUUCAAAUAGGUCCAGUCCGGAUAGAGAAGGCUGGCCGGAAGUUCCGGGUCCAGGGACUAGGUGUGAAAAAAUGCGAGUAACGGCUAGAUGACGUCACCUAGCCGUUAUAUAUAUCUAGAUCGCACCCAGCUUACUUUUUGGCCAUUUUCACUUCAGUUCUUUCACACCCUAGGUUGUUUUAGCCUCUCCCAAGAUCCCUUUGCUUCCUCCACUCAAAUCUAGAGCCUUUCUUGUGAGAUUGUCAGAAUAGAUGAGAGUGUAGGAGUGAUUUGGAGAUGCUUUGAAGACUAGGUGUGGUUGAGCACUUUGGAUAUCUUGUGGGCUGUCACUUGGGGCUUAUUACUCUUGGAGAUCAUCUCCUAGACGGUUAGGUGUCGCCUGCGAGCUUCCAAAGAUCUUGUGGAUAUCCCGGGAAAGUUUGUGAAGGUUUUCCUCACCUCCGCAAGGAAACAAGGUAAAUGAGUAAAGAUUCUUUUGCUGAGAUUUCAGAGGUUCUCCUCGGUAGAGCAACUUGCACUUGUGGUCUUUUCUAGAAGGAUUUGUGAGUUGGAUCUUGGUGGUCACUCAAAUUCUAGAAAAUGACCUAGGAGUGUUGAGUUGAAGGCCAAGGACUUCUUCUGGAUUCUUCGCACAGGUGAGGCAAGGGGUUAAUCGAGAGCCGGCUAUUGGGAGCACCUCAACGGAGAGUAGGAUCGAAAGAUCCGAACUUCGGGAAAAAAUCGCCCUUGUCUUCUCUGUGAUGAUUCUGUGCAUGCUGCUGUGAUUGUGUAUCUGCUCUGUCUUCCUGUAGUUUAUUUCGUGCAAUUUAGUUUAAGUGUCUGCUAAUUUACAGGUUUUUCUGUUGCUCGGAAGUUCCGGUGUUUAGAACACCAGAAGUUCCGGACAGUCUGAGCAGACUGGAACGUCCGGUGUUCCACAACCGGAAGUUCCGGUCCUGCUGAAUUUUACCGCUGCAAUUUGUUUGUGAAUUUCAGGAAAGCGUAUUCAACCCCCCUCCUCUAGGCUACAUCUUUGCGUGUUCACCUGAAAGUUUUGGAGAAUAGGAUGUUAAGGGCACUGCCGCCAUCGAUGAGCACCCUCUUGAGCCGCACUCCUUCCACGGAUCGGGUCGAGGAUGAGUGGGUAGCGCCCCGGGUGAGGCACAUGGUCGGGGUGAUCGGACCGAUCAAAAGUGAUGGGGGUCUCGGUCCACCUUAAGUAUUGCGGCGUGUCGGAGACAGUGAUGGGGGUCUCGGUCCACCUUAAGUAUUGCUUGCGGCGGGAUUCAUAUGCGUCAGGGCCGCCAUAGAUGUGGUUGUGCUCGGCAUGGGGACUCGGGAAGGUGGGCGAAUUGGCCUUGCCAUCGUCUUGAGGGUUGUCGCGUGGCUUUCCCCCCGAGUUACCCUUGUCGGCGAGCUGCUAGGGGUAUUGCGUGACUAGCCAGCAGGUUUUGGCAGCGUGCUUGAGCUCAGGGUGUUACGGGCAUGGGCCGUCCAUCAUCUUGUCGAAGUCGUCCUUCUUUGGUUGGCAGAAUUUGCGCUGGCUGCCACUACACUCGACGGCAUUGACCUCCUCCUCACUCUUGCACUUGAACGGCCUAUUGCGGGAGGAGUCGUUGUCACGGUGAGGCUGGUACGGCGGCCUCUUCUUGAUUUGUGAGUAGACCACGAGCUCGGAGUUGGCAUCUUUGUUGGUGCAGUCGAACAUUUGGCGAACGGUGAGGGCGGCGCUUCCGCCAAGUGAAGUCUUGCAGGCCCACCACUUGAUGAAGUCUUCGUUCUUGCAGCCUUGAUGAAAGGCAGUCAUCACUUCCUUGUCAGCAACGUGGGGAAUGGUAUUGCGCCACUCCGUGAAGCGGCGGAUGUAGUCGAAGAAGCUCUCGCCGUCACCCUAGAUGAUCUGGUAUAGAUCCUACUGAGUACCCGGGUGAGGAAAGGUACCCUGGAAGUUGGCGAUGAACUAGGCCUUCAAUUCGGACCAGCUGUUAAUGGUGUACUUCAGGAGUCCUAUCAGCCAUGCUCGGGUUGCUAUAGUCAACAUGACCGGCAAAUAGUUUGCCAUGACCAGCUAGUCGCAACCGGCAGCUUGGAUGGUGGUGGAGUAGACGGUGAGCCAUGCGCUGGGGUCCGUCUUGUUGUCAUAUUUGUCAAUCCCCAUGGGCUUGAAGUUGGCCGGCCAUCUGACUCGGCGUAGGUUGUUUGUGAUGGCCGGGAUGCCCUCAGCACCGUCAUCGCGAUGCAAGAGGGGAUCCGGCGAGUGGUCGCGGUAAUCAUGGUAUGGUCGGUGGACAACGAUGCAGCUGUCGGCUUGGAUGUCGGCAUGGCGGCAGCCGGUGUCGAGGUCAUCCUCGUUUAUCCGUAGCUGCUCGGCGUCACGGAGCUGGCAACACUCAUUCAUGACGUUGCGGAGAUCGGCGUCUAGCUUCGAUCUUGUCGCGCAAAUCACUUGUGCGCAGACUUGGGCGCGAGCUUCCUGCUUGGGACGCCUCGAUGUGCUUUGACCCGGCAUGUUGCUGUUGGGAUGGUCUGUUGCUGGAAGAACCGCCAACGAUGGAGGCAGUCGGCGCUACCUCAGCGUGCUGGAAGGUGGCCGCCUCCACCAUGGCUCUCACCUGAGCGAUAGUGGUGUUGAUGGCCGGGUCGUUUGGGACCUGGAUGUUGUCGAGGAGGGCCUUGGCGGUGAUCUUGUUGUUCUGAGGCAUGGUGAAUACAUCACGCUCUCCCAGCUUGGUCUGGAGGAUAGCGUCUUGGGCGGCGCAACCACGUUGUCGCAGCUCGUUCAAGCGCCGGUUGAGGUUGGAUGCGGCGCUCCUCCUCUCCUCAUCCGUCUCCUGAAAGGCGAUGAAGAUCUCUUGGGGCCGACGGCUUGAGGUCGGCGUGUUGUUGGAGCUCUCCGAGAUCGAGUCGGAUCUCUGAGUCACAAGGAACUCGACCCAGCGGGAUCUGAGUUCCCGGGGCAGCCGGGGGCGGUUGCGUUUGGAGCGGCCAUGGUGUCCCGGAUGUCGCGGGGGUGGUGAGGUGUCACGCCCAGAAAUUCACGAACCAGAAUUUCUAAGCUGAAUGUGUAUUAAACCCCUGUCCAGGACCAGCCAGGGUACACAAACGACAAUUAUUGACAUACAGAUCCAUGUCUUACAAAAAUAUAAAAGAUUACAAAUGCAGCGGAAAAGGUAAAGCGAGCUGAGCCUGAAGACUUGACUCCUGCAGCGGGCGAUUCCAUUCCACAGGCAACCCUUGACGGCAGCGACGAAACCAACCUCUUCAAGACAUCUCCAACUGAGAAGAACUUCAACUCUGGUGAGGGGGAAAAGAGAGCAAGACUGAGUACUACCCACUAUACUCAGCAAGUCAUACCGGAAGAGGGGGUAUGAUGCAGGGUAUAUCCAAGGGAGGCUAAAGGUUCUUUUGCAUAAAGCCGGCAUUUCAAAGCAGUAGUUGAAAGCAGUAAAACAGUAGUAGUAAUUAAUCCAUAUUAACCAAUCACUGUCCAACGUUACACCACGUUGCAACAGGCCCAAACCACCACCUGAACUAACCAGUUCCAAAAGCUAACUAGGGUGAAACUACUCACGGUGAAUCUGGUCGACCGCCCCUAACCGCGGGCACGGCUAUUCGAAUAGUUUUACUCUGAUCAGAGGUGUACAACUGUACCCACAAGACACAGCCCCACGACACGUUCCCGUGCGCCGACAUGCCACCACGACAUACCGGAAAGAGGCCGUGACAGGACCGUUCGCAUAACCCUCUCUAACCGAUCGCACCACACCUUAGGGUUCGCCCCCGUCCCCAGCAGGCAACGGGCAGCCCCCCCUUUCGUGCCACGGUGAAUCCGGAAGCCGAUCAACCGGACACCCCGGACGACCCAACUCCAUCACGCCCACCCUCGCCUGGGUACGUCGGCUAGAGAAAAGCUACACUACAAGCCCAGCCGUUGCCCACGCUGGCUUGUGGUAAGUACGAUAAGUUCUUCCAGGGCAUCCCGCGAACCGGUCCUUAAUCGCCAUGGGCACGUCUAGCAAAACCAUGCACCCACAGCCCACCAUGUAGUGUAUUUUAAUUAACCAACACCAUUGCGGUGGCACUAAUCCAAAGCUAUUGCUAAUAAUCAAAGUCUAUGCUUUAAUGUGACCCCCUUCUGUGCACUAGUUGAACUAAGCAUGGCUAAGCAUCUCCUAAACCAACAUCUAGUCAUUUUAAUACCCAAGUUAUCAAUGGCGUAAGGGAAACAACAUAUAGCUGAGUAAUAGGACCCAUCCCACAUGAUAUUGUAAAACAAUGCAAUAUUUAAUAAAAAUGCGGGAUAUUUGUAAAUUGGGUACAAUAUGAUCAAUUGUAUUGCAUGACUUGCCUUGCUCUCGCACUGAUGAGACCACAGCAACGUCUUCGAGAAUCCGCGAAUCGAUGAAACGGCCGAAAUCUACGCGACAAACAAAGCACACAAGCAAAACAUGCUAUAAGACUACUGAAACAGAGAGCAAAGCCAUUUUUAAUGGAUUCUAUACAUUUUUAUGAAUUUACUGAGACUUGAAUGGACUUAAUCGGAGCUCGGAUGAAUUAGUUAUGAUUUUUAGAAGAUUCUCUGUGUUUUUACUAUUAAAGAAAAGCCUUAAUCAAUUUAUUGCGCAAUAUUGCCCCAGGGCUGACGUCAGCAAGGGGUGGGGCGGCGCCGACAUGCGGGCCCCACUGGUCAGCGGCACUAAGAGAGGGAGAGGGGGCGGCUGGCAGGCGGGCCCACUGGGCAGUGUCACAAAAAAGGGGGGGGGGAAGACGGCCUGGCUCGGCUCGGCUUCAAGCCGGCCGGCCGGGUUAUGGCGAGGGCGGCGGCGCGCGCACGGAGGCAGCGGCGUAGCAAAGAGGGAGAGAGGAAGGGGCCCCGGUGCUCACCAAGGAGUCCGGCCGACGCGGAGGGAGGCGACGGCUAACGGCGACGAGGAGCCGACCGGCGAACCCUGAUGGACGACGGACGGGAAGCGGGAGGACCUAGAGAGAAGGUUGGGAGGGGUUAGAAGAGAGGGAGGUGGUUCCAUGGCGCACGACAUAGCCGAUCGAAGGCGCGCAUGUGAGCUCACGAGUGCGAGAGAUGCGAGCUCCGGCAAUGGAAUUGACGGAGAACAGCGACGAUGUUGACCUCUGGAUGCUGACGCCGCUGCGCCGAUUGCGGGGUGCUGCGGCGACCCUAGCAGCUGCUAGAGCCGCCCGAGCGUUGAGAUUGCCGCCGGCGGGUGGGUGCACAGUGCUAGGGCGAUAGGGAGCUCGGGAGCGGACGGCGAAAGAGGGAAAAAGGUGGACAGAGGCGCGGUGGUCGGUUAUAUAGAGGUGGGGAGGCCGGACGUGGCCCGGAGCGGUGGUUUCGCGGCGACGACGUGGAGAGGUGGAGGAGGAGAGAGAGGGGGAGAGGAUUCAAAUCGAAUCCCGUCCGUGCGGGCGCGCGCGCGGACGGGAGAGGGCAGGGCGUGGGGCGGCGACGUGGGGACGUGUGGGCGCGGAGUGGGGCGCGGAUGCGGAGGAAGCGGCGGCGUGGGCGGCGGUUUCAGCGGCGGAUGGUGGCAGCUGCCGGAGGUUAGGGACGACCGACAGGUGGGCCCCACCUGUCGGCGCUCGGGAGGAGAGGGGAGGUGGGAUGGACUUCGGGGAGGGGAGGUGAAGCGGGCCGGCACGGGAGGGAAUGGGCCGGGCCCAAGAGAAGGAAAAAGGAGGGAAAAGAAAAGAAGAAAGGAUUUUCCAGGGAUUUAUAUAUUGCACAUGCUCAUUUUUAAUUGGUUAAAAUUAUUUCCAAUGCUCUGAAAAUUCCACUAAAAAUCCUGUUAGCAUAUUUUGACAUGUAGAAUCCACAGAAAAAUUCCACAUGCCGAUUCCGAUGAUUAUUUGCAUUUAUUAACUAGGGAUUCAUCUCUAGGUUAAAUUAAACAAUUUCUUCGGGCGAUUUAUUUUAUGAAUUUAGAGCAAGGGAGGGGAACUUCAGGGCGUGACAUGAGGCGAUCGGACAGUCAUCGACGGGGUUGCCGGCCUGAAGUGCCCUUGCGGCGGUGGCGGCGAAGUUGCUGACUCCGAACAGCAUCCGCGGUGGGGUUGUCGGCGGCAGGAAAUCUGGCAAAGUUGGCCUGAGAACGCCGGCGCUGGUAGCGGUGAAGUCGAGGCUGCCGAAGGAGAACUUGGUUCCUGCAAGGAAGCGAUGGGCCAUGACUGGCCCGGCGUCAUGGCCAGACGACACCGGGACUUACCUGACCGAGCUUGUCGGAGUUGUCGGCAGCGAAGUCGAAUGCGCCGAAGGAAAAUUGGGUUGCGGUGGGGAAAGUGGUGGUAUUCGCGAUCUCAACGCCGAUGAAUGCCAUCUCCACGUUGAAAAUGAUCAAGCACCCCCUACCUGGCAUUCCAACUGUCGAUUUCUUGGAUCGGCAAUAUAUUUUAUGGGGUGUGCUAGAUCAAGGAAAGAUGGUGACACAGAUGAUUAUCCUGGUUCAGGCCCUCGGGAUGAGGUAAUACCCUACGUCCAGUGUGGAGGAUUAUCUCAGUGUCCAGUGGAAAAAUGGUCAAAAAAGUCUUCUUUAGGAUUGCCGCCGGCACCCUUUAUAUAGACCUAAGGCAGCCGACGCCAAUCAUGGCCCAGUAUCACUUAUAAUCCGGGUACUUGCCAAUUGUUACAAGACAAGGGAUAUGUUGCCUUAUCCCUUACUGCCUACCAUACAUACAACGCAUGCCGUACAGAGGAAUGGGCUCGCGGCCCACCCUAGACGAUGUGGUCCCAACCAAACCGUGAGGUACCCAGGUACCACAUACCCCACAUUUUCCAUUUUUCAUUUGUUUUUUUCACCAACACUGGGUUUGUCAACCAUUCUGGAUGCAUGACUUCUCUUAUAACUUUUUCUUUUACCAGCUUCUCAAGUUCAACUUUCGUGGCCUACUGCCUAUCUGAUGACAUUUUUCUCAGUUUUUGCUUUUUCGGUUUGUACUCUAGUUUGAUUUCUAAAUUGUGUUCAAUCGAGCUUCUAUCUACUCCUUGUAACUCCUCUGGUGACUAGGCAAAUACAUCCAUAUUGUCCUUUACAACCUUCAAAAUCUCUUCUUUAACAUGUCUUUCCAAGUUCUCACCCAGCAGAAUGUAUUUUCUAGGAUCGUGUUCAUCCAAUUGUACUUUCCUUGUUUUUCCUUCAGGGAUUGUUUUUUCCAUUUUUGAGUAUUCUCCAUGUUUCUGAUCAACUACAUGUACUCCGUUCACAUUUGGUGUUCCCUGGAGUUCGAACUUUCUUGCUGCUAGUUGGCCACCUCAAAUUGUUAUUACUCUCUUGGUCCUGGAAGUGUCAUGCAUAUGUAGUUGUGAUGUAUAUGCUCGAAACAUGAAUGUGACUUCGAGUAUGCAUGUAUGAUAUGCAUAUCGACUACAUCAGACCUAUUCUCUUUCUCAUAUAUCACUUUACAAACUACUGCAGAAUUUUCGAUGCAUUACUUUUUCACAGUUGAAGAACCUGCAUGCACUGUCUUCGAUGCAUUCUGAUGCGUCAUAAAAGCACAUAUGCUAACUCUCAUCAUCCACACUCUUUGCACUCACACAGUGCUAUUUCACAAGACUACAAAGGAUCUGAUGUGGAAAAAACACUCCCACUGCAUCUUCUAGGCCAAAAGAGAUCACUGUGUUUGAGUAAGCUGGUGGAUUUGACUGAUGGCUUGUUCCCACAUGAUUUAUUUGUCUUAUCAUUGUCUUUUAGACUUAAUGCUCAAUGAUGAGCCCCCUGUUAUUGCAUUGAUCACCCUUUUUAGUGCUUCCUCAAUUGCUUCUAUUUUCAUGACUUGUGGUGCUUCUAUAGCAUUCUGCCCUCGUUGGUCACGAGCUCCUUCAUACUUGUUCUCAUAUUGGCUGAUUUGUUUUUCUAACAGUAAGUCAUUUGCCUGCAUUCUUUUGUAGAAUGGCCUCAUGGACAAUGUAUUUGGCAAAACUUUCUAUAGCAUUUUUCUGUAGAAUGGCCUCCUGGACCAUGUGUUCGACAGAAUUUGUUGUAUUCUAUUUGAUUUUCUCUUCCUUUGCCUCUUGCAUUGUUCUAUCAUCUUCCUCUUUCUCUGCCAGAAUUCCACCAUUGGCCUCAACCUCGUCCGGAUUGCCCCCAAUGAUUUCUUCCUCUUCGGGAGUUUUCCCAUUUGUAUUUUCCUUUUCCAUCCUAUUGGAAAAAUCCUUCUCCAUUGCUUUAGCCAUCUCCAAGGAAGUUUACUUAUUUUUCCUAUUCAUGCUUGUAGUCUUGUUUGAACUUUUUCCAUGGCUUGUCAGAAUUUUCUCCCUUUUGUUCAUCCCCCUGGGAAACUUGCUUGUUCUUUGGUUGCUUCUUACCCAACAAAGCUGCUUCUUCGGCUUGUAGUCUCAGCUCGUCUUCUUCUCCUCUUGUAAAACUCUCAAUAUUUUCAAACAAGUCUUUUGUUGUUUUUGACCUAUUUCUUACAAGAUAAAAAUGCAGAGGUCCGGGUUACAAAGCCCUUUUUACCGCUGCUAUAAGCAUUUCAUCAUCUACUUGUUUUAUCUGGCAUCUUACUCUUGAAAAUUUUACAAUGAAACUCCUCAAAGUCUCACCUAGCAGCUGUUUCAUAGCAUACAAAUUAUCUACCUCUUUUGGUUCUUCAUAUGCCCCAAUGAAUCCUGCACGAAAAGUAUCUCUCAUGUGCUCCCAUGAGUAGAUUGUCAUGGGGGGAAUUGUACCAUGACAAUGCCAUUCCUUCUAACAUGAUUGGAAGAAUUUUGGCUUUUGCCGUGUUAUCUCCUCUUGCUGCUUCAAUUGCUGUUUUAUAUACUCGCAGGUACUUAUUGGGAUUUGUAUCUCUAUUGUAUUUUGUGAUGUUUGAUAUUUUGAAGUGUACUGACUAGGGUGCCAUUUGUAGGUUUUGACUAAAGGGGCUUUUGGUAUCUAUUGCUUGUGUUGGCUGAAAAUAGGGUUGUGUUGAUGGAAAUUGAACCACUUGGUUUGGGAUUUGGCCUGUGUACUGCCUGGUGUUUGGGUUGGGCAUUUGCAGUAUGUAGCAUUGUUCAUAUGUUGCGUCUGGUUGCUAUAUAUGAAAAGGGAAAAAACAUGAGGGUGCUGAUUAGACUUUUGGAUUGUCUGGGUAUGUGGUGCUUGCACAUGUGGAAUAUUGGUUUGAGAUGUUUGAAUUUGGGGUAUUUGGAUCAGGGGGAUUUGCACUUGUGGUAUAUGGCUUUGUGGAAUUUGCACAUGAGGUAUAUGGUUUUGUGGAAUUUGCACAUGAGGUGAAUGGGUUUGGGGAAUUUGCAUGUCAGGCAUGUGGGUUUGGGGGUUUUGGAUUUAGGGAAGUUGAGUUUGAGGGAUUUGGAUUUGAUGAAGUUGAGUUUGUGGACUUUGGGUUCGAGGAAGUUGAGUUUGAGGGAUUUGGGUUUGGUGAAACUGAGUUUGAGGGUUUUGGGUUUGGGAAGUUUCUUGUGUUGUUAUGGUAGUUUGGUUAUUUUCUGUUUGAACAUUCCUUCCCUGAGUGUUUCCCUCUUGAGUGUUUUCUUCUUGAGUGUUUUCCUCUACUUGAUCUGGUCGAGUUACACUAGUCCAUUGUUUCUGUCUGGCCACCUGAUCCACCUGUCCCCAUUGCUUGAUUAUGCAAAGCCUGUAGCCUUUGCAAUUCUUUUUGCAACUCAUCAUGCUGUUCUCGGCUCACCAUGACAGCCCCUUGUGCUUAUACCAUUUCAGCAAGUUCUACCUCACUUGGAGAUGUCCUCCUCGUUUCCUCCCUUGUUGGGUCAGUGAUUCUUUCCUCAUGUCCUGUUCUAUUCACCUCAACUUCGGUGGCCGUGCUCACAAAAGUGUCCUUGUAUCGAACAGGCCCGGUCUUUUGCCAUUGAGAACAUCGCAUUUACUGUUCAAGCCCACUCCUUGGAGACUUUACGUCCCCACGGACAGCGCCACUGUUGUGACCUUAGGCCACGGAUAAGUUCAGGGAUAGGAGAGAAAGUACGUUUCCCCCGCCUAUCCUAAGAAUGAGCUCGAACACAAAAUACACGGUAUUAGCAAUUGAUAUUUCUCUAUUAAAUUAUAUCUUGUCUUGCUACAGGAUUUUGGCCGGCUUAUAUAUCCCACAGCCGUACAUGUUAGGUUACAAUCUUACCCCUAUAUCUCUUGUGAGCUUACCAUAAUGCCCUUGCCAUGUCAGCAACCCUAGGGGCAUUUUGAAGGUGUUUAUGGUCUUUUGGUGCCAGCUGGCAGUGGUGGUUGAGUGUAGUCCCCAUGCAAUCUUUUUAUGGUAUCUUCCUUGCUCAUGUAGUGUUUUCCCUCAAGUUCCGCGGUUGAACAUCUUUUCCAUCUUCAGAGUUCAAACACUCCUUUUCACCUGCUAGGCUCUUGGAAUUUACCUGUCACAAGUAAAAGUCCACUCAAGCGGGAUAAGCUGCUCAAGUGUCACAAAAUCAUUCGAAUGGAACUUUACCAGUCGGAUAGUAUUUUUCCCAAUUACAAGUCUUUUCCAAGUUGGACAAUUAGGAUUCUCAAGACCUCAUUUCCCUCGGUGUUUUGACCGAAUGGGGAGGAUGGUGUUUACCCCUUGCUACAACACUCAAGUCUCCAAAAUAUGUAAGUUCAUCUAGAGUCAAAAAUCCAAAUUAAUCUAAAACAAUUCAUUUGUGGUGAAAUCAAUAAUUCAAAUUCAGGUGAAAUAUUUGAAUUCCUAAAAUUCAAAAGUCCAAAGCUACAGCACUACAAUUCCAUUCAAAUUCCAAUCCCAACCAUUUUGCAGAUUAGCCCCUCCAUCUUCUCUUUUCCUUUCCUUCCUUUUCUUUUCUUUUCUAGCUGGUACUGUUCAUUGCCCAGUACCUAUUCGACCUGGGCCUACAACCUUCCAGGCCGAAGCCGCAGUACCAGCAGAACAUGCCCAGCCCGUGCGCUCCUCUUAGGUGCAUCGCGACCCUAGCCAACCAUGCCCCUCUCUAUGCACCCAACCCAUCCCUGAUCCCACGCGUGCCCGCAUUGCGUCCAUGCCACGUGCGCCGCUUCCAUGUGCUGCAUCACGCCAUGCCACACCACGACAAAAUCUGCGCUCUCUCGUUCCGGUUUCUAUCCGGGUGACACGGCGCAAUGCCGCUCCAUCGUCACCUCUAUCGCGUAGACUGGCAACCCUAGCCCAACGCCAUCACCCAUAGCACAUCAUACGUCACCUUGCCACCGAAGGAUAAUGGCCACCAUGACUUACCAUCGUCACCAUGUUGCGCCGCAUCCACUAGGUAGAACCAUGCAUCCCUAGCCGAGCCCUGCAUCCCUUCGCCGCGUCUCCACGCCUAGCCACAACACAGUCCGUCGCCAUCGCCGUGACUCCACGCAGCGCAUACGUCCCAUCACCCCGCGUCACGCCCGGUGGGUAAAAUGACGCAUCUCCUUGCCGGCUAGCUUCGAGACCUGCACCCCUACCACCGCCAUAAUUCUGAUUGAUCCCUAAAUCCCCGAGAGUGUGAAUUGGAGAUCUAGGUCUCGUCAACCUCGGAUUCACUCUUAUCAAUUCGCCAAUGCAAGCCAACUCACUUCUCUCCCCUAUUUAUACCAUCCCUGAGCUCGGCCUUAUCGAUCCCUCUUCUUCCUCAAAGAAACCGUGUGGGGCGCCGCCUAGCCAUGGGUCGAACACCUGCGAGGUGUGGGCUGCACCGCCACUGCAAGACACGUUGGUGGAGUUGGAGGUUGGAGGGGGUGGAAGCAGGGUCCUGCCACUGUCGCUGCGGUUGGAGGAGGCCAGGAGCCGUUGGACGCCAAGGACCAGGCGCGGAACACCAUUGGGCGUUGCUGCCGCUAUCUGCCUCUGCACCAUCCGCACUGCACCACGAGCCGCCGCACUUCGCCAUUGCUUCACUCCGUGGGAAGCCCUCGCGCCCGACGCGACCCCCUAGUGACCUAGAAACCAGCGGCACCUCAAUUUGAGGCACCUGCUGCCAUAGCCUUACCGGCCGGGCUGCCAUUGUACCGCCGCCGAGCUCCCCUCGUGUGGGAUCGUCCAUAGAGAGAAUAAGCCCCAUUAUUGUGAAAUCGUCACCUAUAGGGACCCUAGAACGUGUACGAGGAACCGGCUGCAAGCCUACGGUAGCUUCUGUCGUGCAUGGCCGAGCUCGUCGUGAUCUCAGUGCCAGUCUGAUCCGCCGCACCGUGCCCCGUGAAGCCGCCCUGCGUCGUCGGCAGCGGCGGUGGGCCGUAGAGGUGUGCCACCGCCCGUCCCACCGUGGCGCCAACCGCGCAUGACGCACCUGCUCCGCUCGGUUGCGAGUGUGAGGAGGAAGAAGAAGGGGAAAAAAGAGAGAGAAAGGUGGCUCCCACACGUAGAUUAGCGCACAGUAACCACCUUGUUAAUUGCGGAUAAGUGAGUCUAUGAUUAGUUUGUGUUGCUUUAUGUUAAAUUGGUGUGUUUUAGUGGUUUCAUUAGAUUGUGAAUGCUUUUGAAUGAUUUGGUGUAAUAAUUGGCUGUACCUCAGUGAGAAAAGGCCAGAAGAAAUUCUAUUAUAAAAAAAAAAUGAUGCGUGGGUCCACGUGAUUAAAAAUCUAACUAAAAUCAGUUAUACGUGUACAGUCUAUGACAUGUGGUACCCAUCAGUGAUUAAAGGGCCGGUUUUGACCCUUGGUCAACCAGGGCCGUUCCCACCUGUCAUUGGGUCCACAUAAUUUUCCUUAGAGAAAUAAUUUGGUAAAUCAAAUAAUAAAACCAUUGACCCCACCUGUCAGUGGCUCAUAAGGAUUUCCUUUAGAGAAAUAAAUCGGCAGAAAAGGAAUAAAAACUCCUGGUCCCACCAGUCUGCCACUAUAGGUUAUGGAUAAUGUUUCGGAAUAACAAUAAAUCAAUUAGUAACAGUGCUGUUUCGCAAUUAUUGAAAUUAAUUCAAAAUUGGAUCUUCAAAUAAUCAUAACAUUUUCAUUUUAGCUCCGAUUUGAGUGAAACUUGAACCUAAAUUCAUAAAAAUUCAUGAGAUUCACAACGGUAUAUAAUUCAUUAUUUAAUAAAAUAUAUUUUAUAUUUAUAAAAUGACUAAUAUCAAAUGAUUAAAUAAUGGUUGACCUAAAAAUGUGGUAAUAAAUAAAAUUUAUAUUGUACAGUAAACUAUGUAGGGGAAUAUUUGUCUUUGACCUGUUUUAUCACGAUGGAAACCAUGUAAACUAAUUAGAAGUUUUGUUUCAAAUAAUUAAAGCAUAGGAAAUACUAAAUGUUAUUGUUUUUCUAUGACCCUAUAUGUAGUUAGAUCCAUGACUUAUAAAUUAUCUAAAUAAAUUUUAGCCUUAUAAUUGUGUAAAUAAAAUAGGAAAACACAUAGAUCAACCCUAAGCUUGCUUAGGAGAAAUAAUAACAGAACUAGUGUGAUUAAAUCACCUACACAAAAUUAAUUAACGACAUCCUAUAUAAUAGUAUAUGUUUAAGUUGGUAAUCAACCCUUAUGUUAAUAGACAGUAACCACCGCAUGAACCCACCUAGAUCACAUAUAUUGUACGGCUUGUAGUAAGAAGCACAUGUUUAAUAAAUAACAAAACCUUAAUAUAUUCUUGAACAUGUCAAACUUAGGAUAAAUUGAUACAUUUAUAUGUUAACAGAUAUUGAUAAACCGUGGCAUCUCAUGCAUAAUUUUAGCUUUAGAUCAUUCGUGAAUAAAACUAUAACAUAUGAUGAUCCCUCAACUGAAAAGGACACUAACCUACCCUACAGAGCAUGGUAAUUCAUUAGAACAGUUAUACAGUAAUAUUUGUAGGGCCAUGCCUAGAUAAUCCAUCCUAUUAAAACUACUGUAAUGAUUAAAUUAUCUACUGAGCCUUGGUGAACCUCCUGUAAGGCAUCACCAUUUAAUUUAGAUCAAGGCUAGUUUAACCAUGAAGUCCCCAUAGCCCAUAGUUAAACAAACCUAUGCUAACAGCAUGAGCCUAUUGAUUGCUGGUUAGCCCAAAUUAAAACACUAUGGCAACUUAAAAUAUUAAUCCUUAGAUUCUAGUUGCCUUUGCUUCCUAAGUUGCCUAGCUACCAAGAAACCUUAGCCCAUACCAUGGUGGAAUCCAUUAGCAAGCCAAAGUAGUAUGAGCAGCCCAAGGUAUGUUUGCACAUAUUUGAUUGUUGUUUGAAUAUUGGUUUUUCUUGCAUAUUAUAGAAUAUGUUUAUCGGUUAGUCAUGAGGCAACAUGUGUAACAUCCACGAGGUGGAGGUUGAUCAAGAUUAUAUAAGAAUAAGGACUAUCCUGAGGAUCCCAAAUGCGAAAUUAAUUUGUUUACAAAUAAAUUUGCAUGCAAUGAUGAAUAUCCUGCUUGUUAUUAUGCCAUGCCUUUGACUAUUGUUUAUAUUAAACAAGUGAGAGAACCAUGCAUAUCUAAUUAAAAAGAUAAAUUUGUUCCACAUAUUAUAAUAAGCAAUCUCACAAUUAAAUCCAUUCCAAAGCACCAAUUUAUUUUAAUUUUUUAACACAAUAGAGACAUGAAGCGGCACCAGAAGGGGACAUAGCCACCAAAAGGUGCCGGACCAUCCAGAGAGACAUAAAUUUUCCACUGAAAACAUCUUGGCUAAAUAUUCUCCUUGAGCCUCUCAACCCCUGCUUCCGAAGCCUCCAACCAAAGCUUAUCAUUGUCACGCUUCACGAAAUCCAUGGCAGCCUGGAUUUCCUUCACUUCCCCCCUUAAGGUCUCCUGAUUGCUUCUGGAUUUUGCCUUUUUUGCCUCGACCAACACAUCUAAUUCCAUUUUAAGCCUCUCGACCCCUGCUUCAAACAUGCUAUUUUUCUGCUCUGCAGUCAAAACCUCCAACUGAAUCUUAUCAUUUUCACCCUUUCUCAAAUCCUUGCUGCUAUGAUUUUCCUCCACCUUCAUCUUAUGGUCUUCCAAUUCUUUCAUGAUUUCUGCCUCGUCAGAAUCAAAUGCAUUUGUAGAUGUCUCUUUUGCCUCCACCAAUUCCAUCCGUGACCAAAGCCUAUCAUUUUCAAUUAGAACCUUACUAUAAUAAGCCUCCAAUUCCUGAUUCUUCGCUAGAGCUGCCUCUAGCUCAGACUCCAAAGAUGCUGCCCUUGCAUCCAUCUCUGCCUUGUGAACCCCAAGGACCCUCAAUUCCUCCACCUUAUCCUUAAUUUGCUUCUCUGCUACUUGUUGGUAUGUAUCUGCAGCAUCCAUGACCACCAAAACUGCCUUUCUCGCAUCCUUCAGGUCCUCCACCAUUGCCUUAAUUUGCUUCUUUGCUACUUCUUGGUACGCAUCAGCAGCGUUCAUUAACAGCAGGCCUGUCUUCCUCGUGUUCGCCAAUUCCUCUUCCUUUGUCCUAAUUUGCCUAUCUGCUACAUGUUGGUACGUAUCGGCAGCAUUCAUGAACAGCAGACCCGCUUUCCUCGUGUCCUCCCGUUGCUUCACUAGCACAGCAGACAGUUUGGUGUUUUGGUGCUCCAACUCCCGCACCCUGUACUCCAGUGUGGAGGACACAUAAGCCGCUCUUCUCUUCUCAUUGGACAGCUCAGUGUUUUCAUUCACCAACCUCCGCACCCUGCUCUCUAGGUAACUCUUCUCAUUGGACAGCUCAGUGUUUUCAUUCACCAACCACCGCACCCUGCUCUCCAGGUUACUCUUCUCUUGGGACAGUCUAUUGUUUUUGCGCUCCAACUCAUACGGACCAUCCUCCCAAGAAUAUCUAUCCGCAUCAGAGAAGAGAGAUGGGAUUAUGCUGCGUACGUGCACAGGAAUUGACUCGAUUUGAAAUAAAUAAAAUGAUGUCUUGGCCCACUCGAAUACCUCCAGUACCAUGGCAUGUUGUAGAGAGUUGGAGCAGAGGUCGAUGACAAAUUGCAGCCGCUGUUGUCACGCACUCGUCGGAGGUCGAAGACGUCUGCCCAUGCCGAUGGAAUGAAGUUUCCUUGGGGUGUGUGUAUAUAUAUAUAGGGAAGAGGCAAAAGUGGGACGGGUGGAAGGCAUUGAGUGCCUGUGAAGAAGAGGAUGGAGUGUCAACGAGGAAGAGAAAAAGAAGCAGAGGAGGGAAGGCAUGGAGUACUGGUGAAGAGGAAGGAUGGACUGCUGGUGAAGCGAAGACUGAAUUCUCGGAGGACGUAAGUCUUUCUGUUAGGGAAAUUUCUGCACGACACCGCCAGUUACCUGCCUCUUGCGCUGCAUCUAUGAAUGGAUGAAAAUAUAGUUUGGCAUGGUUACCUGCUGUUUUCUUUUUAUUUGUUCUUUAUUAUGGCCUUGGACAUACUUCUUUAUAGCCUCGGACUAUUAUCCAUGAACGUUUUGUUCGGCAAAUUAAUGUUAAUGACAGCAGUCCGAAAUUUUCUUCAUAGCUGACAUCGUUAUACAAGUCUGUUGAUGCGAAAACACGAGGCCUGCGAGAUCUGCUUAGCUCCAGUGUAGGUCCAAAGGUUGGUGAGGUGCAGACGUGCCAGUCAGUUUAAUCCUACAACUGACAAGAUAUGUAACCAGUAGAUCAAAUAGCCGACCGGCUAAACAGCCGAUGGAGCAAUCCCAGCCGAUGCCGAUACCAGCCGAUAGCGAUAGGGUUUUGAGCUAUCGGCUAUAUGUCCAAUGUAGAUCCUGAUACUUGAUGUAAAUAAUGAUAUAAAGGCAAUCGGCUGAUGAUGAUAAAUAAUAAUAAUAUAGCAAUAUAAUCCAGUAGAAACCAAUCGGCUAGCAAUAUGAUAUGAUAGAACAAGCACUGAUCCGAAGGUUAAAGCAUCCAUCGGCUGAAGGACCGAUGCCAUAAAAUACACAGAUUAGAUUAAACAGUGAAACCUUUGCUGUCAUCGGCUAAAUCCAACUUGUAUAUAUAUGUAAUCCUUAUAAGCCGAUACAACGUCCAGAUAACUUAUCGGCUAGCACCCCGAUAAAACAUUAGCAUGAACCUAUCGGCUUAAUAAGACUUAUAUUAUCAACAACAAUCUAGUAGGUCGAACCUAACCGAUGCAGCACGAGAUUGUAUAUGAUAAUCUAAUACUCGAUGAGCCGAUAGAUCUGUCUAAUGUGAUGGAUAUAACGAAUCUAUUUAUAACAGCAUUGUGAUUGUAGAGAUAUAUCGGCUAAGACAGAAGAUCGGACCUAACCGAGACAGUCCCAACUAAACCGAUGCAUCUCUAAACACAAUGCAACUAGCGAUAGAAUUGAGAUAUCAGGUAGGCAAAUAUAUCAACCAAACCAGAGCGAUCAAAGAGAUCAAAGCGAUGCAGCCUUGAACAACACCAACGUAGCCGAUAGAUUCACCAGGGCCCGACGGAACGUAGGACUUACCCCUUCGCUGGAAAUCGAACUAAACCGAUGCAGCCCCGCGUCAGGUGCCCAAAUUCCGCCGGAAGAUAAGUAAAAACCUCAGGGAAGAGGGUGGCGAUGCGCCGAGAGUAGUUGUAUUGAUCGAGAUUGAUAGAUUACAUUGACCCCGGGUGUACAUAUUUAUACCCAUGGGUUGAUAUAAGUCCUUGUCGGACAAGAAAGAAACUAUCCUAAAGAUAAAAGGAAAACAUAAAGUCCUUAUCGGACACUAAACACACUUUCCUAAAGAUAAAAGGAAACUAACAAACUAUUCCUAACUAAUAGAUAACUUGUCAUGCCGCAUCCUCCUUAAACUCGGUCUCUUCUGGAUAAGCUUCCUUUAGUAGAUCGAUUUCCUUAAUCGAAUAUAGCAAGAAUUCGACAACUGACGACUUGAUAACUCUCAUCGGCUGAUUCUAGAACUUUGAAGCCGAUACUGAUUUUCAGCGCCGAUGAUGACUUUAGGGCUUACCAAAUUUCACUGUUAACACAUGUCCCCCAGUUUUGGAGUAUGAGAACUCAUGCUUCAAAAUUUAUUGUCUUGAUAACUCCAAGACCGAUCUUCCUUUGCUUCUUGUAAUUAGCUUUCAUGAGCUGAUGCUGUUUGCAUUAAAUGAGCUAGACAGUCAAACUCGUGGCAAAAGAAUCUCUCUCUGAUAGGGGAUGACAAUCCUUGGAAUGCAAGAUCUGCGAGCUGCUCAUCGCUUAAACUCAAACUAUAACAUCGGCCGCGGACAUUACGAAAUCUCUUAAUAUAUUCUAUAGCCGAUUCUCCUUCUUGCUGCUCAACCGAUAUUAAAUCUGAAAGCUUCAACUCUUUGAUUCCAGCAAAGAAGUAGUCAUGAAAUUGCUUCUCAAGAUCGGUCCAUCCUUGGAUAGAAUCUGAUGGUAGCGAUGAAAACCAUGUGAAGGCCGAUGCAGUCAAAGAUAAUGGAAAAAAUCUAACUUUCAGAGCCUCUUCAGCCGAUGCCUCCCCACAUUGUGCUAAGAGUCGGCUGAUGUGUUCCAUUGUAGGUGUAUCAUCCUGCCCUGAAAACUUGGAGAAAUCUGGAACUUUGUAUCGGUGUGGCAAUGGCACCCUAUCAAAUCAGUCAGGAUAUGGCAGCCGAUACAUAUGGAUAUGUUCCUUAGGUUUGAUUCCAAACUGCACCUCUAUUAUCUUUGCAAUUCUAUCGGCCAAAUCAUUGUUAUAUUGAUAUUCUUCAUCAUGCCCAUAUUGACGAAGUUCUUCUAGCCGAUACUAAUAUGCUUGCCCCCCGAGCCGAUUCUUUUGUGCAACUAUUUCAGGAACUAUCUUCUUGAUCACAUUUUGUAGUGUACUCAUCAAAACUCCAGACUGAUCAAGCAAUCCGCGAUGAACCGCUUCAUCAACUGUAUCUUGAAGUAUUUCAACUAUCGGCUUGGGGAAUCGAGUCUUCUGAAUUGGCCCUUCGGGUAUCAUGAUGAAACAUUGAAGACAACGCAUUUGCAAAUUAGCUACAAAGUGCACCAUCUGUUGCUGUUCCUCCGUUAAAUUUUCCACCGUGACCAUGAUCUUGGCAUUGACUUCUUCUUCAGACAUGUUGGGUAUAAAACUCAGGUCUCACCGGGCGUGCCAAAAGCGUGUUGAUGCGAAAAUACGAGGCCUGGGAGAUCUGCUUAGCUCCAAUGGAGGUCCAAAGGUGGUGAGGUGCGGGUGUGCCAGUCAGUUUGAUCCUUCAACUGACAAGAUAUGUAAACAGUAGAUCAAAUAGCCGAGCGGCUAAACAGCCGAUGGAGCAAUCCCAGCCGAUGCUGAUACCAGCCGAUAGCGAUAGGGUUUUGAGCUAUCGGCUAUAUAUCCAAUGUAGAUCCUAAUACUUGAUGUAAAUAAUGAUAUAAAGGCAAUCGGCUGAUGAUGAUAAAUAAUAAUAAUAUAGCAAUAUAAUCCAGUAGAAACCAAUCGGCAAGCAAUAUGAUAUGAUAGAACAAGCACAGAUCCGAAGGUUAAAGCAUACAUCGGCUGAAGGUCCGAUGCCAUAAAAUCAACAGAUUAGAUUAAACAGUGAAACCUUUGCUGUCAUCGGGUAAAUCCAACUUGUAUAUAUAUGUAAUCAUUAUAAGCCAAUGCAACGUCCAGAUAAGUUAUUGGCUAGCACUCCGAUAAAACAUUAGCAUGAACCUAUCGGCUUAAUAAGACUUAUAUUAUCAACAACAAUCUAGUAGGUCGAACCUAACCGAUGCAGCACGUGAGUGUAUAUGAUAAUCUAAAACUCGAUGAGCCGAUAGAUCUGUCUAAUGUGAUGGAUAUAACAAAUCUAUUUAUAACAGCAUUGUGAUUGUAUAGAUAUAUCGGCUAAGACAGAAGAUCGGACCUAACCGAGACAGUCCCAACUAAACCGAUGCAUCUCUAAACAUAAUGCAACUAGAGAUAGAAUUGAGAUAUCAGGUAGGCAAAUAUAUCAACCAAACCAGAGCGAUCCAAGAGAUCGAAGCGAUGCAGCCUUGAACAACACCAACGUAGCCGAUAGAUUCACCAGGGCCCGACGGAACGUUGGACUUACCCCUUCACCGGAGAUCGAACUAAACCGAUGCAGCCCCGCGUCAGGUGCCCAAAUUCCGCCGGAAGAUAAGUAAAAACCUUAGGGAAGAGGGUGGCGAUGCGCCGAGAGUAGUUGUAUUGAUCGAGAUUGAUAGAUUACAUUGACCCCGGAUGUACAUAUUUAUACCCAUGGGUUGAUACAAGUCCUUGUCGGACAAGAAAGAAACUAUCCUAAAGAUAAAAGGAAAACAUAAAGUCCUUAUCGGACACUAAACACACUUUCCUAAAGAUAAAAGGAAACAAACAAACUAUUCCUAACUAAUAGAUAACUUGUUAUGCUGCAUCCUCCUUGAACUCGGUCUCUUCUGGAUAAGCUUCCUUUAGUAGAUCAAUUUCCUUAAUCGAAUAUAGCAAGAAUCCGAUAACUGACGACUUGAUAACUCUCAUCGGCUGAUUCUAGAACUUUGAAGCCAAUAUUGAUUUUCAGCAGAUGAUGACUUUAGGGCUUACCAAACUUCACUGUUAACAAAGUCUUAUACAGUACAUUAAUAAUACAAGGGUUGUCCAAGUGCGACCCAAUUAGACCAAGCAUGGUCGAUUACAUUACAAAAUAUCAAAAGAAGUAGAUGGGGUAGCAGAGGUGGAGCAGCAAUGGCCCAACUUAUUCCACAGGUAGUGACUGGUAAACCUAGAUCCCUACUCCACCGUCUUCGACACCCUCUCGUCAGCAUGCCACACUUGUGGGUCGGGUCCAACACCUUCUUCUAAAAGAGUUAAUUAAGCAAGUGUAAGUAUCUACCGUACUCAGCAAGCCACUACUACAGGAUGUAUUUGGUGCACACGGGGGACUUGGUUUAUUUGCAUAAAGCUAGACUUUAGAAAUUAUUUCACAAACCUAUGACUUAGCAAUUUUAACUGAAAAACAACGUUAAGUUGAAGUUGUCGUUAAUCAGCGAGGGUUCAUCCACCUUUCCCAAGCCUUGCUUGGUCCUGUUUGCCUUCGCAACCAGCUUUCCACAACUUUCACCAUUUCGACCUUCCUUUCCACCUAAUCUAAGCACUAUUAAAACUUAUUAGGCUAGUCAAGAGUAGUACAAGUCCUAGCGCUCAUUAACAACGAGCAUGGCUAUUCAAAUAGAUUUAUUUACUCACACUGCAGUGGAUGUACGCUUUUAAUCCCGCACUCCAUGACGUACCCAACACAUGAGACUAGCCCCAACACAUAAGACCUGUCACAGCCCGGAUUUUGGGUUACCCUCGCAUUGCGCACCCGCUCCAAGGACUACGAAUUCCCAUUGCACCCUGGUACCCAACCCUAUCUCGAGCCGGCAGUGAGAGAAGCCCUGGCGCUCCCGAGGUACAAACACAUCCAUAUAACAUGCAUAGAGUGUAUACCCACCUAUACAAGCAAUGCUUAGCAGUGUCAAUAAUUGACCACGCAUAAAAAAUAGACUCAGGCAACAAGGAAUAUGGAUAACAAUUUCAAAGGUGGCUAGCAAUCAAGUUUAGGUACAUAUUUUAUAAUUAGCAUGCAAUUUUAUUUGCAAUCAAUACAUUUAUAAAAGUAGGAUCAACAUGCUUAAGGAGGGCAGCGUAGUGACUUGCCUUGCUUUAGAUCCUUAAAUUUCCGAGAAAUUCGCGUCCGUUGAAUUUUUGGAAUAUCCAACUACAUGAUCGACAAGAGAGAAACACACAAAAUCCUAGAAAGAAAGCACUAUCCAUUUCAAACUAGUAGUGCCAUCUGAUAGAUCUUGAUUUUAGAAAAAAUAUGGAAGUUGAAUGGACUCAAUCGGAGUUAAGGUUUGCAAGAUAUUAAUUUCUGAAGUUUAAAUGAAUUUAUAACAAAGGAAAAAGGAUUUCUUUUAUGGUAAAAGAACAUUCCGGAGGAAUAUUCCUUGCGGGACCCCUCUGUCAGCCGCAUCAGGGGGUUGGCGCUUGGUACACUAGAUCUACCGAGCUGGUGGUGAGGUGGGACCGUUGGACACAGCUCACGGUCCACAGAUCGAUGCGUAGGUCCCGGCAGUCAGUGAGACAGCUCACGUGAACCGGGUGCAUGCGAGCUAAGGGGGCUGUGGUUGAAGGGGAAGGUCCACGGGCUCAGCCCUUGUGGUGGACCGGACGGUGGGGCCCAUGUUAGCGACUGAUAAAUGUCAAUUUUAUGCCAUCAAUACCUACAUAGUACAUAGGUUACAAAACAUCCAACAUAAUAGUAGGGUUCAAUUCUAACAUAUUUCAUAAGUGUUGGUGUAUAAUUGGAUGCAAAUUAUAAACCGUCGAAGUUGGGAGGAAAUCUAGACUAAACUGGAGAAGAAUUUUAUGCAUACAAGAAUUGGGCUCAUAACCUCAUCGAAACACCAGAAAUUGGGCCCAACAAUCAUGGAAGUGGAUAAGGGAGAGUGAAGAGGAGGCCCAGACCAAAUCUGGGGGCCAGAUGGACGCCGUUCAUCCUGGCCUUCCACGUGGACGCUCCUGAUCACUUCCCAAUGACGGUUGGAGGGCGUUUUCGAUAUUUCUACCAAAACCGUUAUUCUCAGCCUAUAAAUAGAGCUCCUCUUAUUCACUUCACAGGCACUUUAAGCUUGAGCUGAAUUAUAAGAGCAUCUAUUUUACUUUAUUGUAUACUAGAUUAGGAAAAAAGUAAGGUAGAAGAAAUCGGAGGAAUUCGGCAGUUGUCGGUAAUUCUCCUAUUACUUUUCGUACCUUUUUAAUUACUCUAGUUUAAUAGAAAUAUCUUUCUGAGUAAUUAAGAUUUACUUCGUGAUAUUUAAUCUUGGUUAGUUCCUACUAGCAUACUGGAUCAUUAUUCACUAUUAUAUAGUGGUUACUUUAGUGAGUUAUAAACACUAGAGUAAUAAUUAAUUGCAUAAACGUGGUGUUUAUGUAGUUAAUUUCUAGUAAUUGCUACGUAUCCCACAGAUCAUUAGAGGUUGGCGUAGAGGUAGUGACAGCCCUCGAGAUCAUCGCAGUCUUCCCUCUCUGGGUACGGAAUAGAGCGCGUUCUGGUAGCAGCGAGCAAGCCAGUGCCUGAAGUAUCACUAUAAGAUUAAAUUAAGCUUUCUAUAGACACUAUUUCUCACUAAGAAAUCCUCUCUAUCCUUUGCCUACAAUUGCUUCGUGUCCUUGGAUUAACUUAGAGAAGAGCUGAACACACACGUUCCUCAUGAAAAUCGAUACCUUGGAAUACUCCCGGGUAAAGUGCUACAUGGGUAUUUCCGUGCGCUUUCAGAUUUUAUCUAUGACGUUAAGAAAUACCAACAUCCCACCAACUUGGCGCAUGUGUACCGGGUGCAUGAAUGCUUAAGGAAAGGUGGGUCCCACAUGUAAGGAGGUAUAAACAGAAAUUAGCCAUGGUUGGGCCCACCUGUCAGUGAGAGAUUAGAGUCAGAUUAAGGAGGUGAUUACUGUGUGUGUUUGAUCUUCUCGAUUCUUCCUCCUGUCCCCACUCUAUCUGAUCCCCCACUCCCACACGUGCGCUCAAGCGAGAGAGACUGGGCGGGCGAUGCCGAUGGUGGUGAGGAGCGAAGGAGGAGCAGCGGCACGAGGAGGAGGCUGCCAUAGGGCCGUCAGUUGGCGGCUGAGAGGAGGCGCUCGGGCGAGUGUCGCUUGACACGGUGCGAUGAUGGUCCAGAUCAACAUGAUGGUGACGAUGGCGGGCUUCGAUGGCUCCCAGGCUUAGCGAAGGAGGCGGCGGUGAUGGAAUCCCAUGGACGGAAUCCUGGGUCCAAGGAGACCGGCGGCGGGCGAUCGUGAAGGUAGCGCUCGCGCGGGUCAGCCUAACCAUGUGCGGCGGCUGCCGUGGGACAGGGAAAAGGUGUUUUGGCGACGGAGGAGAGCGGCGGGAUGGAGGUGCUGAUGGUGGGCUGCCUCGAGAUGGUGAAGUGGAUGCGGUGGCGGCCGAUGUUGAGGGCGCAUUGGUCUGGGUCGCACAGCGUCAAGUGCACCCAAGAUUCUCAUCCGUGUGUCUUGGCCAGUGCAGGUGCGAAGAUGGAGGCGAUUGGAGGAAUAGAGAUGAAGAAUGAAGGGCAUGGCGGCUCUAUAGCCGGCGCCAAUAAUCGGUGACACGGGUGGCUUCAAGGGGAAGAAUGGAGGCGGGGUAGUACAGGGGCAAGGACGGUGGUGCUGCGGUGGGCGUGGGCUCGGCGCACACUUUCGGCGUGGGCAUUUCACCGCAGCAAUGGAGCGCGGGAGGGCGAGACGAUGGACAUGGUGCAUUGGCAUAGGCUUGGCGCGGACGUCAGGGUAGAUAAAGGCGAGGCGCGGCACUGUGCUGCAGUAAGGCAGGCACGGAAGACGUCGGGGGCGUGGCCCGCAUGUGUGGAGGACACCUGGAUUUUACAUUAUAGUUGCCAAUUGAAAUGAACAUAUAAAGUCAAGUAGCAAGUAUAGGGAACUUUAGCUUGCCAGUCAACUUCAGCCUGAUAUGUGACCGUCAAACCACACGAAGGCGGUGACCAGAUAUAUUACACAUUCAGGAGACUUACAAAAAUAGCUAAAGCUCUAGCGCAUCCCAAAUAUUCUAAAUUCAUACUCAUGUGAAACUAGUUCCCAGGAUGUGCAAUAGCUUCACACUUUCAUCUUAAGCAAUGAACAAAAGGAAAUACAACUAAGACAAAUAAAAUUCAGAUUACAUCUACUUUAGCCAUACAUAGGCUGACUGGCAAAUAAUCAGAGAUUCGCGGAAGCUUGGCUACCCAAACCACAAGCAAACCGACUAGGGGAUUGUCCCCUUUUGAACCAAGUCCUAGAAAAAGAAGUCAAAAACCUGCAUCACUCAAAUUUAAGGAAAACAAUUGCAAAGAGUAAAGUAUAUAUAUAUAUAUAUAUAUAUAUAUAUAUAUAUAUAUAUAUAUAUAUAUAUAUAUAUAUAUAAAACAUGGCAUGUGUCACAUCCUGAAUUUUCGUUUCAGGAUUUAUAAAUUAUUUAAUUUUUAUUAAAUUCUCCAUGUUUAAGUCAACUCUCUGAAAUUUUCUCGGAUUUCUCAGAGCUCAAUUCCUAACUGAUACAAAGAACAGUUCAGUAAUUAUUUGAUCAUUAAUGAUCUAAUUAUAUUUGUUAAGAGCUUUUCUUGUUUAAAAAUCCUUAAAUUAUAAAUUGUUGUUUAAAAGGAAUUAUUAGAAAUGAUUUUAAAAGCUUAGAAGAAAAGAUCUAAUUUUAAUUUGUUAAAUCUCAAUAUAAAAUGGGGCCAGAUAAAAUUUCAUUAAAUACUUUGCUUAAUUCUAUAAUUCCUAGAUUAUUCUGGGAUUUAUUUGAGCUAAGGAAGUAUUUUUAAUAAAUGGAAUUGCAUUUCAUGAAUAAUUUAAAUUGAAAAAGGUUUUAAAAAGUCUUCUUUUGGCUUUGGGCCGAAAGCCGGCCCAAAACCCUCUCUCUCUCUUUCCCUCGGCCCAGUCCGGCCCAGUCCGCCGAGCCGCCACUCUUCUCUCUCUCGGUGUCGCUGACAGGUGGGUCCCACCUGUCAGGUUCGUCUUCCCCGAGCCGCCGUCGCCCGGCCGAACCCUAGCCGAGCGCCGCCGCCGUCUCCUUCCAAAAUUCCGUCGCUCCUUUCCAUCUCCGGCCGAAUUGAUUGAGGGCAAAUGAUCCUUGAGAUCUCCUCUUCCUUUUCUCUUUUGGAAACAUCGGCUAAUUUUCUUUGGAAGCCGGUGGAUUUGAGUUCGAAUCGGAUUCCUCUCUCCCUCCCGAACCCUAAUCUUUCCUUCUCGCCGCCGGUCGCCGUGGGCCUCCGUCGCCACUCGCUAGCCCCUUUAAAAGGACCGCCGAGCUCUCCUCUACCCGCCAUCUCUCUCGCCUUCGCCCGCCGUCGUGUGUAGCGCCCUAGCCUCGUGAGCUUUUGCGCCGCCGUCGCUGCCGUUCGUCCAGCCGUGCGCCGCCGUCGCUACGGUCGUCGUCGUCACUCGGGAAGGCCACCGUCGGGAUCGCCAAGUCGCCGCCGUCCCCGUCCACCGUUUCGCCGCCGCCGAAGACCGCCGGAGCACCGUCGCCGUCGUCGACCCGAUCUCCGCCGCCGCUUCUUCCUCGUCGCCGGCGCCGUCCGUUGCUUUUCCGCCGCCGUUUUGGUCACCAGUGAGUUCGCCGCGCUGCGCUCUACGUCUUGGUGCCCUCCGUUUGUGCCGUAGAGCCGCCGUUCGCCGGCGAGCGUGCGCCGUCCGAGCCGCCGAGCCGCCGCCGGAGGUGACGUCAUCGCUGACGUCAUCGUCGCCCUCUCCCGUGAGCCGGUCGUGGACCGAUCGAUCUCGGCCGUCCGUUUUGGAUGGAUCGAUCUCGGCCGUCCGUUCCCGUGAACCGCCGCCGUGCGCCCGGUCCACCGAAACCCUAGCCGCUGACGCAAUAAUCCUUCUUUUCCUUUUCAAAAAUAAUUCAUUAUUGCGUCAUAAUUCAAUUAAAAUCCAUAUAAGUGUUUUAAUCCGAUUUAAUCUUUAAAAAUUCAUAACUAAUUCAUUUGAACUCAGUUUAAUGUGGUUCAAGUUGCAAAAAUUAUAUAAAAUAAAGAUCUACAUAUUAAAAUUGUCCAUAAAUUGAAUUAAAUUUAUUUAAUUCUUUUUAAAUGGGCUUUAAUUAGAUUUAAUCUUGUAAAAUUCAUAAUAAAUUCAUAUGAAGUCAGAAUGAGGCCGUUCAAGUCUCAUAAUUCAUCUAAAAUUAUGAUCUACAUGUUUGUUUACUUUUUAUGUACUAUUUAUUUGGUUUUUAUUAGUCUUUUUCUUCGUUUUGCGUGUUAGCUUGUCGUUUCCGUCGUUGCGAAGGUUCGCGAGUGCGCCGGAAGUAUUCAAGAAGAUUAAUUGAAGACCGAUUAUUGCAAGGCAAGUCACACAGAUCCUAAACACAAUCCUUUGAGCAUGUUGAUCCUAUAUUUAAAUUCUCUAUUUAUUUCAACUGUGCAUUUAUUUUCGAAUGUCACUGGGUGGUGUGAAUCUAUUCCUUUGUUAUGGGCUGUUUGCAUUAAUUACUUUAAUCCUUGAUACCUUGGGUUAUUAUAAUUUGACUAGUUGAGCUUUAUAUAUUGGUUCAGCUAGAUAUUAGAUGUGAUUGCUUAGCCAUGCUUAGAAACAUUAGCACACUAUUGGGAUAACUUAUGAUUCAUUAUUAUUUAAUGAUGGUUUAAUGAUAGUUCACGAUGGUUAAUCUUGAUUGGUUAAUUAAUUACUUGCCAACUAAAACUUGAUAAUGGUGGGUUGUGAGCACAUGGUUUUGAGAGUCGUGCUCAUGACAAUUAAGGACCGGUUCGCGAGCUACUAUUGUGAAACAUUAACCGUGCCAACCACAAGCCAGCGUGGGCAACGGCUUUACCUUUUGUAUAGCAUGAUUCAUUGCGGAGCACCAGACUGAGAAGUGGCGGAGAUAAGCCCACGGGGGUCGCUGGGGAGUCCAUGCCUCUGGUUUUUGAGGGGGUGAUUAUGAUCCAGGAAUGGUGCACUGUGGUGAGUUGUGUUAUGCAGAGGGUAUUGUCACAGCCUCUAUUCGGGUACUUUCCAGUAUCGCGACGCAUGGUAGACAUGAUGUUGAGGCUGUGUCUUGCGGGUAUAGUGGUACACCUCUGGCCAGAGUAAAACUAUUCGAAUAGCCGUGCCCGCGGUUAUGGGCGAGUUGAGCAAUGUUUUUCGUGAUUAGUCCCAUACCUCUCACCAUAACUAUGGAUGUUAUACCGGGUAAUAAUUUGCUUAGCUCCUGGUUUGGAGUUAGAUCUGUUCAGCCGGGUAUGGUUGUUCAGAAUGGUUGGGCCUGUGCAGCAUGGGUGUGCUGUUCAGUGUUGAUUAAAAUUUCCGAUUAAUUACUCCACUGUUUUACUUCUCUUAAAUGUUUUGCUAAAUGCUGCUUUUGCAAAAGAGCCUAUAUUAUGCCAUCCUUUGGUAUCCUUGUGCACUUGCAUAUUUGUCGUGUGGCUUGCUGAGUAUGUCAUAUGCUCACCUUGCAAUAAUCAAUCAACCUCAGUUGAAGAAAAAGGAUCCAGAAGGAGAAGACGUUUGGCUUAUACCCCAGUUGAGCUGCCUGUGGGAGUGGAGCCGGAGCUUCGCUAGAUUUUAUUUUCCGCUGCAGUUUUCUUCAUGAUGAGGACUAAGUGCCUCAUAAGUAAGUAUUUAUCGUUUUAGUUAAUUUGAUGAAUCUGUAUAUUAAAUUGUCAGUUUGUGUACCUCGGCUGAUUCCUGGACGAGGAUUUUAUGCACAAAUAAGUUCGGAAAUUACUAGUGAAUUUCCGGGUGUGACAAGUUGGUAUCAGAGCCAUCUCGACUAUAGGAUAAGCCAAAUGGUCAAACCUUAAGGAUUAAUUUUCCGAAAACAUGAUUUGUGAAAAUUUCUCCUUUCUUCCUUAUCUAGAAUUCUUUGCAAAUUGUUUCAUUGUCUACUCCCCUCUCUCUUUCAACUUGAGUAGUUCUGAAACUAGUUGUUGAAACUUGAAGACGCCAAUGAGGUUUACUUAUGGAGGUUAAGUAAAGUGGAUCGAGGAAGAACUGAAGUGCCUAGAUGUUAAG
rnacentral:lncRNA from 1 species